CUAACCCUAACCCUAGCCUCCCUUUUCUUUACCCUACCUUGUCCUCUUAAGAACUGCUGCCGCCGCCACCGUCGCCGCUCCGGCUGUCGAAGAAGCCCUAUCUUCUCCUCUCUCUCUUUCCUCACUUUCUCUCUCUCUAUUAUUGGUGUUGAGAGGGGAUGAGACUGGAGCCCCUUGUCUUUGCAUCGCCGCCGGCAAGGGCCGCCACCGCCGCCAUCUUCCUUGGGCCUUGGCGACUUCCCCUGAGCCUCCUCAGGCGCCGCUGUGCCCUGGGGAGCUACUGCGGCCUAGAGGGAGCGGCCGCGCGGCCGAGAGGAGCCACCCUGCCGCUGUCGUGCCUCCCCGCCACCUCCGAUCGACCCUAGCGGUCCCGGGGGACCACCAGCAUUGCCCCCGGCUGCCCCGAGCCGCCAUUGCGCCGCGCUCGCGUGCCCUAGCUGCGGGACUGAUGUAAUACACUGAACUUUUGCAAAUUGCGAAAUUUCAAGUGUGAGAAAUGAUAUGUGGAUUUAUCCUACAUAUUUUAAAAGGCUUGGACAAGUUUUUGGACAAGUUAGAGGGUAAUUGGAUGGCUAAAAGUAAGAAAGUGCAUUGAUCUGGCGAAAUCAGCAUUUUUCUGCUUGGUGUACCGGUACAGCCAUCAUUGUGUACCGGUACACAGUGGCAGAAACGUGGCAGUAAGGUUAUUUUGGUAAUUUCACACCUUAUACUUAUCUACUUGACCCCAGCUCGACCUGGGAUGCUCAGUAGAGGUUGCUGGAGCUCAGAAUUUGGUCCUCCACCUUCUUCACUCUCUCUCUCUCUAGGAUUUUUCUCUCUCUACCUAGAAUCGACGAUUUCGCCCGUUUUCAUCGCCUCGCCUGUUCUUCGCUGUUUGCGAGCGUCGCAAAGCUUACGUAAAUGUGUGAGAGAGUGUUCUGGAAGGCUUUUCGCAGGGCUGAACCAGUAGUUUACUGGUUGGAAGCCUGAGGAGGUAAUCGACUCAAUUUUUCCGUUAUCAACAUUCUAUUAGACGAGUUGAUUACAGAUUUCAGGUUUUUGCUUUCAACUAUUUUAAACUGAGGUUUCAGCAAAUAAAGAUGAGUUAAUUAGCUGUGAAUUAACCUCCUUAGGCCAGGGAUAAGCUACUUUGAAGCUUAGUAGAGGUAAUUAGUUCACUAUGAAGCUAAUUCGGAACUAAAUGCGAGUUGUUUGCGCGAACUAAUGCAGUUUGGAUUGUUUUCUUCGCAGCAGGUUUUUGAACCAAAUUGAGCUUGAUUGGUGACCUUGGGGACUGGUUUAGAAGGUGUUCUAACCUGAGGUAAGCUGGAAUUACAGUUAGAAACCUAAUUUCACAAGAAUUCGGCUAUAUGAAUUAGUAUACGUGCGUUUUGACGCCGUUUAAUGAUUGUUCGCAGCGAGAGUGCAAUCGACCCUUGGAUUGUCUUCGGCUAGCUUGAGAGAGCCCUUGGAGAGUUAUUUUGAGGUACUAAAGGGAACCAAAACAGGAAUUCAAGUUACUACUUUGUACUAAGUGCGGACAUUUCGGUUGUAGUAUUGGUGUGAUUUCGUGCUUUGUUUUCAGCAGGAUUGGGGCUUCGUUGAGCUGAAUAUUGGUACUUCUUGUGACUGAUCUGAGCCUAGUAAGAGGUGGGUUUGACCUAACCAGAGCAAGCGAAGCUCCCCUAUGUUCUAUAUGUCACUAUAGAAAUGGGUACAUAGGCACUUUUAUGAUUAUGUGAUUGAUAUGGAAUCGAAACUCGUUAUCGUAAUGUUUUAUAUAUAAUUGAAUUGAAAUCUCUAUAAAGUAGAGAACAUGAAGUAGAGAACACUCAUGCAUAAAAGUCUUUAUGUCCACGCUUAAUUUAGUUGAAUGACUAAUGGACAAGUUAUUAUGUUCCUAUAAGUAGAGAACAAUGACAUUCUCUUGACCCUAUUAAUAGUAUAUUAAUAGUGGGAAGUUUCUAAUGUAAUAUGUCCAUUGGCAUUACUUUUAUGUGUUUACUAAUCUAGUGGAUGCUAGCAAGUUUCAUUGUUUAUUCUAUUGAGAAUUCUGAUCAAUAGAUCGAGAGUGACAACAUAGUGUGCUAUGCCAUGAUGUUUGAGAUAUAUUGGACCAUGGACUUUGCUUGCUUGCCAUUGUGCUCAUUCGCAGACGCUUGUGAUGGUAGCUCCCUACAACCCGGCACUCCGGAGUUGGCCUACGCGACAGUUGCUCGCCCGUGCGGGAUUGGGUGCCGAAGUGGAUUGCCGUGGGGAGUGUAUACUACCACAGGGCCAUUAGGCGUAGCUGAAGCCGGACUACCUUGGGUAGGUCCUGAUGAAAUAAAAGUAAAACUCUAAAUGAAAUGGAAAUAGAAGUACUAAAUGACAUUUGACAGUAAUGAAUGAUUAUCAGUUAUAGUGUACAGUAGUUACUUACACAUCCAUGCUUAUGUUCAUGCUUACAAUAGUUGCUAUGCUUCUAUUAUUCAGUUAACUCAUUACUGUAGAUAUUGUUAAUUAUAUGUUAUAUACAUGUUCCUUAUUUGUUAGCAUUGGAAAUGCAUCAUGGAAUUAUUGCUUUAUUUUCAUUUAGUACAUCAUGAGCCUAGUAGUGUAAUUCGCCGAGGCUGGCGGCUUACCCACUGGGAACUAUUGUUAAUAGUUCUCACGCCCUUUUUAUGAUUAUUUUUACAGAGCCUUCUACAGAAGAGGCUAGGGACCGUGGCAAGGGAGUCGCGUCUAGCUAGACAUUGCUAGGAGCUUGCUAGUCGAUCACCUCGUUACUCGGGCUACGGCCGAGGGUGAUGUCCAGUGUAUAGAGAGACUACCAUUGUACAGAUGUUGUGUGUACCCUGUGAUGUAUAUGAGUAUUGGAUCCAGAUGUUAUAGUUUUGGUACUUUCUUUUGUACUUAUAUUUUGAGUUGGACACUCUUGUUCUUUUGUUGAUAGUCUUAUUGACUUAUACAUGCUCUGAUGCCAGGAUAGGAAUUUUCUAUGUUUUCUCCUAUCGACUUGUUUUCUUAUAGACGCCUUAUAUACUGUAGGUGUAUGGCGGGUCUGUGCACGUACAGGAUAUGCUUCCGUUGGUACCCGGGCGUGACAACUGAUCGGAAGUGUCGCAACCUUGCCGUACUGCCGCUGAUUCUUGCCGCCGGCCAGGGGUCCCGACCCCUCCCUCCAGGUGCAGUGACCACCUUCUGUCCGGGGCUCGGGCAGCAGUGCCUCCGGCAGCUCUCCAUAGUGCCCUAGCUCGAGUAGGCUCCAAUCCGUGGUUGCUCUGUAGCCGAUUAUCUUUUUCGACCACCUAAGACCUCGGCGAGUCUCCGGAGCGUUAGCACCACACUCCUGAGACCCUGUGGAGUGUCGUGCUCACCUUCGCUGUGAUCAGUGAAGCUCCGUUGUGCGUGAUGACCGUGGUCCCUUCCAGAACCAAGUUUUUGGUGGUUUUUUUAUUGUUCCGCUAUUGUCCAGCCACCAUUUUCACUCCGGACAGCGAGCAUGGGCAUCCUUUCGUCGAGUCGAUCCAAAUCAACUGGUUGGUUGGAUCCAUUGCGACAUGGAUCAAGGUAACGAGCUCUAAACUCAUCGCUUAUGCAUUGAUUGUAUAGCAUUUAGUGUUAUUAUGGAUUAUUUGUAUGUUUUAUGCUUUGGGAACGUCGUGUGCUACCUUGAACAGCGUGAAGUCACCGUUAGCAACCUCUUGACUGAUCGUCAAAGGUCUGGGAACAUUUGUGGAGUUAGAAUGUGGCUCCACGGAGUCGUUCGGUGAAAAUUCGCCGAACGAACAAGGUUUAUUGGUGAGUUCUAGUAUUCUAAAGUUGUGGAUUGGUUGAGAACCCUGCCAUGCCUUAUUGGCUCGUUGCUACUGCCAUUCUCGAAGUACGAAGGUGGUAGGAUAGCGGCAAGAGGGUUUCGGAGCCUGUUUCGUAAAUUUCGAAAGCCAGAUUCGGCAGUGUUCUAUUUUAGUGAUCCUUUAGCUUUUGUUGUUGGUGGUUGGUGCCCGGGACACCUAUUUUAGUGUAUUUGGGGACAACGGUUAGUUAUAGAUGGGAUCAAAAAUUUUCGGAGCUGUUUGUCUGUCUUGGGGGCGUUCCGGCAAGUUUUCGAAGUUCCGGCGGGUUUUCGGUUAACGAUUUUGGUAACCAUUUGUUUGGUUUGUUUGGGUGUCUCUUUUGGGUAGAGCUUGACUUUAUAGAUCUUUCAUAGGUCCGAGGGUCGGCUUCACGUGUUCUGCACUCCAGGUUCUUGGUAGUACAGGUGGGUGCUGCGAGCUGGUAGUCGAUGAGAUUGUUUCACUUUCCUCUCCCCUGUUAUAACACUUGUAUAUCAGUAUCUUAGUCUCUACAUGUCGGUUGCCUUUGUUUACGGUUCGUUUAUUUAUAUCUUGGUAGUUACAUGGUGAUAGUUGUUCAUAGACAUGUAGAGCAGGCUUGUAUAUAUUAUAUAUCUGUGGACCUCGGGUACAUGCAACACAUCGACUCCUUUGUCAUGUAUUUCGAUCUGGUUGAUCAUGAUUCGACGUUGUACCCCCUUAUAUCUGGCUUUGGCCAAGGCACCGAUUUUCUGCUGGCUUUUGCAUUGAGCAUAUCAGCAUAAUUUAGUCACAUCACUGUGUGUAUUUCUAGACACCAGGUCGGCUUGGCCACCGAUCAGGGGUGUACUUAUUUAGAUAGGUUGUCAGUGCACACAUGAAUCAGGUCAGUGUAUGCAUUGUGACAGACAACGCAUGAGGUCUGCGGACAAAUAUGACAGGCAUCAGAUUGGGUUUCAUUUGGAUUAUUUACCUUUAAGGCAUAUGUUCUGUUGAGGUUUUGAUACAGUAGUACUUUUAUUCCUUACUCAUUUACUGUUCUGCUAUUACUACUGUUGUUCGCUUAUGUAUCAUGUCAUAUUCAUGCAUACCUAUUGUUCUAUCUCUUGUGUUUUUCAGUGAAUAUGAUUUGCCUUCGUGACUCUAUCGUACCCACUGGGAAACCUUGUUGUGGUUUCUCACCCCCCAUUUCCCCAGGUGGCACGAGCGAGGAGUUGAUUCUUGGUGCGACGGGAAGAUGUCCUAGCUAGCCUGUAUUAGCGAUCGUCACCCUGGUUAUUUUUCUUUCCACAUUUAAUAGUUUAAAUAAUAAAAUGGUUGAGUUAGAUGAUCACUGUUAUUGCUUGAAUAAUCAUGAACUUGUAUGAGUUGGUAUUUUCUAUUAUGCAUGCAAUCGAAGUUAAUUUUAGGAAUCUUCAGUACUUGGAUUUAUGGAUUCACGCCUUGUGGUUUUCUACCUCUCGAGGUAGUCGAUUUUCAAAGAUGGAGUUUCCGUGCGGAAAACAAUUUUAAAAGAUUUUCGAAUGAUUUUCAUGGAUGAACAAAUAGAGUUUAAAAAUAAAGUUUCCAGAUAGGGAGCACUUUUAAAUAGGAUGAUUGUUGUAAUGUGCAUCGCAUCAUCCAGCGUCUAAGGAGUGUUUAGAGGCAUACAUCAUCUUUAAGGUUGAUCAGCUGUAUGAAAUUGCAUCGCAUCAAUUGCUUGUAGAUUGGUAAAUGUAGGUUAUGAGUUGUGAUCCUAUUGUUGUUAUCGUUCGGUACGCUGUGCAAAUACAAAGAAGAUUCUAUUUGUGUGGGCUGAGAAAUUUUGUAUUUGUGGCGGGUCUGUACGCCACGUGGGCCAAGCUGUUUAAUAUAUAUAUAUAUNUCUAUCGCACACCCAAAAUUGUGAUGCCAUUUUAUUCCCACAUCUGUUCACAGAAGGGCAUUCAUGCUCAUUUUUCAAUGUCUUUACCUACAAAUAAAUGCAUCAAGAGUUACAUGCAAUAAACAACAAGUCUCUAGAAAACUUAUAUUUAAGUAAUAAAACUAUAAGAUGUAGAAGAUAAUUAUACCUCGAAUGUUGUUUUGUCUUGAAGAACAGAUGCGUGAAGUCUCCAGCCACACCUUUCGUUUGCGCAUUUCACAGUCAUUCUCCUUUUAUCACUUUUUUCAACAUUAAACUCGAAGCCAUUUAAUACUGCAAAAUGAUCUAAGGAUCUCUUCAAUGUCUUUUUGUUAGGAUACUUCAUACCAACUUUCAUGAUUGGAUUAUCCUUAUCAAACUCAUAGAUUUCACCAUGAGAUUCCACAUCAUCAUUAUUAGAUUCACUGCUAUAUUUAGUAUGAAGACUACCGUCAGAUAGUAUAGCCUCGGAAUCCUCUUUAUAAAGUUCCUUUUCAUAAUUACUCUCUACUCCUGUUGAGCUCCUAAAUCUAUUGUCCAUUUGAGUUCUUUCUAAGGGAUCCACAUUUAUAUUAACACCCUGUGAGCUACAUCCUGUUUCAUUGCCAUCACCAAUGCUAGUAGUCGACACAUUAAGCAAGUUAAUUUUUUCUCCUAAUGUCACAUAUAAUAUCAAUUGCUUUUCAUCACUAUGCAUACUAAAAAUUGACAUUAGCUGUGCAUCAUUGCUAAUUACCACAUACUCUCCACAUUGUGCAACAUACCAUAAAAUCAAUAUUUGACCUUCACCCCACUUAAAAUUUUUUCUAAUAUCAUCAAAGAUUUCAAGUAGACUGUAGCGAUCCAUGUCUAUGUAAAUAGUGUCUUGGUAUCCACCAGCAUACCUUCUACCCUUGCCUUUUUUCAUGUCUUCGAAUUGUCCUCCAUAUCUGAUUGUUAAUUUAAUGGUUGUAUCAGAGUCCAUCCUGUGGAUCACAUUUAAUAAUGUCAUUAAAUUUGAUAAAAAGUAAUUAAUGCCAUUAAAUUUGAUAAAAACACAAAUAAAUUUUUAUAAAAGAUUACUAAUUAGGUUGAUUGAACUACUUAAUUUUAAAAAUAAAAAUUAAGGGGUAUUAAUUAAAGAAACUAAAGAAAAUGUAGAUGGAGGUGGUCUGUUGAGAAUGGCCUUGAAAGAUCUCCAUAGAUAUUUGUCUUAAAAUGAUAAAUAUAAACAAAGUGCACACUCAAUAUGUGAAAAAAAAGUUCAUGAGCUUAUAGUAAAGAUCUUAUGCUAAUGUGAGAAUAAAAUGAGAACAAUGAUAUUAAAAUGGAAUUAAAACCAAUAACAAAUAGAUCUUACCCAGCACAUUUCCUUACAAAUAUAAAUCCUUCAAAAUGUGAUUAAGGGAAAAAGGAGCUCAAACAUGCCCGAAAUUAUAGAAUCUUGCUGAAGAAGAGCAAAAUAAUAGGAAUGGAGAGAGGGCAAGAUGGAGGAGGGAGGUUUCUUGUUGAAGAAGAAACCCUCUGAUGGUGCAGGCAUUGGAAAAGUGGAGAGUAAUUUUCCAGCAUUAAUUAGUUAUUCCCGCCAAAAAUAUUAUCCUAACUUUUGGGGGGUAAAUUCGUCAUUAUAUAUUUUAACUGUUAUUUAACUACAUAUUAACCCAGGUUGAGUGAGGCACCGUUAACGGUAAGGGCAAUGACGAUAAUUUUAUGUGUUUAAAGGGGUAUUUACGAUAUUUUGAAGUUUAGAGGGGUAUUGACGAAAUUUGCAAGUUUGACAGGGGCACUGAUGAAAUUGCCCCAUAUAUAUAUAUAUAUAUAUGGUAUAAUAUGACUAAAUCUCUUAACUCGGCUAUAACAUGUUUGGCGGUGGCUAGGUCCCAAAGGUUAAAAAGGUUAAGCAUGGUACAAAUAGAGUAGUUCUAUGAUGGCCUAGGAAGUGAAGCAUCAUAGUUGGUAUCAGAGCCAAUCACUAGCCAAAAGUGUGACGUGAGUCUCGAUUGAGUUAGGUCAUACAGCAAGUAAAGCGCGGCUCCCUGGUUGACGAUCAUUAUGAGUGGAGCGGGGCUUCCUACAAGGUCGGCUAAGGCUAGCGAGACAAGUCUCACAUUACCUGGUGCUUGUUAGUAUGUUUGAGCCUGACAAGGACAUCAGGGCUAAAAAAGGGAAGGAGUGUACAUUCGUAGGAUUUGGACUAGUCCCACAUAUAAAGUAUAAUAGGACUAAACCUCUUAACUUGUCUAUAGCAUAUUUGGCAGUGGCUAGGCCCCAAAGGUUAAGAGAGUUAAGCAUACUAGAACUAGAAUAGUUCUAGGAUGGUGACCCCCUGCGAGCAGGGCGGCACAGUUGGUAUUAGAACCAAUCACUAGCAGGAAAUGUAAGAUGAGUCUCGGCUCAGCUAGGGUCGUAUAGCGAGUAGAGCGCGGCUCCUCACCCGACGAACAUUGUUAGUGAAGUGUGGCUCCCCACAAGGUCGGCUAAGGUUAGCAAGAUGAGUCUCACAUUGUCUGGUGCUUGUGAGUUUCUUAACCCGGCUACAACAUUUGAGCAGUGGCUAGACCCAAAAGGCUAAGAGGGUUAAAUAUGUUAGGGCUAGAGUUGUUUUAGGAUGGGUAGCCCCCUAGAAACUGGAGCGUCACAUGUCAUUGACCAACAAAGUCAAACCAUAUCUCAAGAAUCAAAUAAUAUCACCGACCAAUCUGGUGAUCUUCCAAUGUCUCAAGGAUAAUAAAGUGUAACCGACCAACGAGGUCAAUCAAUUUAUAUGAAGUGUCAUGGACCAACGCGAUAAAUCAAUGUAUAUGAAGUGUCACCAACCAACAAGGUCAACUAAUAUCAAGUACUCGUGCAAUAUCAUCGAAAGAUGUAUAUGUCUACUAAUAUCUAACAUCGAUUGAUUAGAUCAUAUAACAACCGCUCUACAACUCAAUCAUGAUGAAUAUAGAUAAAAGAACAACUAUAGAGAAAACAAGCUAUGAAGUCAAGUGGUGUACAAAGAGCUCAACAAGUAUCAUGCAAUCAAAAUGAGAUGAUAGGGAAGAAACAAUCGAGCAGACACCACCUUUUCGACUUUGGAUCGAAACACCCACCUAUAUACCGAAUAACUGAUUCCGCAACUAUGCCAAUGCCUCUAAGCGCCAAAGGACUUAGAUAUAAACACUAAGUGUAAUAACUAUAAAUUUUGAAGUAGAAUUAUUUAAAUUCAAAUUAGAAUCAGAAUUUUUAAUUUAUAUACAAAAUGAGGGGAAUGAUAGAGGGAAGGUAAUUUCGCAAAUCAGAAAUCAUUUCUAAUGAAGCAAAAACACUACUUUUACGGUCAGACAGUGCCGGAUGUCGUGAUGCAGUCCAUUUUUAGACUUGACAUGUCAAAAGUGUGCAAAAGCAUGAAAAUCGAGAAGGCACGACAAUAGAAAAAAUCAUAUUUUUGAGAAGAGUUCUCAUAUUUUUAUGUAUCAUUUUGUGUAAAAUUGCAAGUGAAUGUAUCUUUGCACAAAUGCACAUGCUGCUAAGGGCUCAGUACAAAUUAACGAUGAUUAAAAGGUGUUUUUGCAUUUUGACUAAUAGGUUAUAUAGGUCACCUAAGGUUUGAAACCCUAGUACCCUACAAUCUCUCCCUCUCAAGCCCUUUAGCUGUCGCAGCCGCCCUCCUCACCUAUGUCGCCACCUCCUUAUCUUCACCCCAUUGCCCUCGAGCCGCCGGAGGUCUGUAGGUCCUUUCUUAAUUCAAAAGGCACUUUCUCUCUCUCUCUCUCUCUCUCUCUCUGAGCAAGGUGGCAUGAGACCCCACUCCUCUCGAUUAUGCCGCCUCGGAUCACCGUCGCCGACUUUUAGAGGUUCCAACAGCCCUCUUCCGGUAGCCCUGGCAUCGUCGAGCCCUCUCCUAGCCCAUAGAGCAUUUUUAUAGCAGAUUUGUGGAGGAUUAGGUCAUAGCUCUUGUUUGGCUAUCCCCUCUUGUCCGGCCAUUGCCACCGAUGCUAGGGAACCCCAGAUGACCCUCCGGUGUCGCCUAUCGAUCCCCGGCCUUCUCGCUUGCCGAAACUUUUUAGUGCUGCCCGAACUUAUCUGGGGUUGCCACACUGCUUAGAGCGCCGCCGUCGUCUCCUGCCGCUAGCUUCAAACACCACCGGCCCUCCCUCAUUGGCCGCCCCCUAUUCUGAUCGGCAACUAUGCCUUCUGGCUGCCGGAACCCUAGUUGCGAUUUUCUUGACACUAGAUCUAGCCGAGCUAGGGUUUUUCUUGCCUGCUUCUCUGUUCCGACCAUUUUCAUUACCGACGGCUCCUCAAAAGGUGAGCAUAGUACUCCACAGGUCCUGUGGACAUUCGUGCUCAACUUCGUCGCAAUCCGAGGGGCCUCGAAUUGCGGGUUCUGCUAGCUAUAAGCAUUUUGUUACUAACGACUUCAGUAGAUUGGUAUACUUAAACUUUUGCGAAAAUCUAAUUCGUUUAGACUACUUUCGUUUCUAAAAUAAUAGGAAAUUUGUGAUAUAGUAGCUAGACAUCAAAUUUACUUUAACUGUAUCUACCUGCUGCAAUGCACGGGUUACUACAUUAUAUAUAUAUAUAUAUAUAUAUAUAUAUAUAUAUAUAUAUAUANUGAUUUUAUCGAUGUCCAAAUUGGGGGGUAAGUUGAUGUGAUGCUUUAGUAUGCAUAUAAUUAUUAAUUAAAUUCCAAAUACGUAAUACCGUAUAUUUUUUACAGGUUGAGGAACAAAGAUGGUGCAACUACUUUGCCUGGAUAGAUGAUUUUCAACACAGCACAAUUGACCUUAAGUACCAAAUCCAGAUGCUGGAGGAAAAUAUAGAUAGAAGAAUUAUGAAGUUGAAGGAGAAAAUCCUAUUCUAUCUAAAGCUUGUACUUUAUAUACUAGUUCCUGUAAUUUUUUACAAAAUCCUCUUCUAGGUGGGGAGGUCGAUCAUGUAUUGAACAAUUCAUCUAUAAAAUAUAGUAAUAUUUCUUCUUAGUAAAUUUUUUAGAACAAUUUCUCUUUGUAUACAAAAACAAAUAUUGUGUAAGAAGUUUUUAUGAGAAAUCUAGAAUUCAAAAUAAACUAACCGAAGAUAGGUACGCUAUUAAUAAAUUAUUAGAAGAUAGGUAAGCUCGAAAAUUUAUAUAUACUAGAAAAUAAUAUGUGAAAAAUUAAAAUAGCAUACACUAUAUCUCAAUUAGUUUUCAUGUAGUAGAAAGUAUUGAACAUCAUAAGUACAAGAGAAUAAAGCAUAUUAUGGUUGAAAUCUUUUGAACAAUUGAAAUAGACAAAAAAUCAAUCAUGUAAAUCUUUGUAAAGCCAAGUAUAGAAACAUCUGAAAGUAUUUUCCUCACUUGCACCAUACUUUUAACAGUGCAUGUAUCAUCUCAAAAUGAUAACAAUAUGUCUUAGAAUAUAUACCAAAUCAUUACAAUCUAAUCCUAAAAGCAUAUGUGCAACAAAAUAGCAGCCUACGCCUUGCAAAAAGGUGCAUGUUUAACUUUAAAAAAGAGCCAUUUCUAUAUAACAUGUAUAAACUUAGGAACUGAAAAAUAGGACGGCAUCCCAAUCUGUAGUUGUUGUUUCUCCAGUGGUUGUAGCUCCUUCAAUGGGUAUAGCUUCACUACUAGAUGCAAGAUUUGUCAUUUGUACUUCAGGAGAUGUAAGCCCUUCAAUGCUAUUGGUUCCAGCAAGUGGUUGGGUGUAUGUUGCUCUUUUCCUGCCUCUUUUACUUGGAUCAUGGUAGCUGCAAUAAGCUGGUAAUGUUGAAUUUUUUUCAUUGCUUACAUGGACUCCCUGCCUACACUUAUUUCAUGAAUAUUGUAAAAGCUUGCAUGCACUGACAAAAUAGAUAAUUACCAAUAAGUAAAAUUCUAUACCUAGAUUGGGUUGAGGAAUUAUAAUUUGUAGAGUUGAAUGUUGCAUGUGAUCCACCAUCAGCUUGAGAUGAAGGCUCUGCGGUAGAAGGCAUAGGAUUUUUGCAAGACUUAGCAUGGUGCCCAAAUUGGUUGCAUCUUUUACAUUUGUGUCUCUUCUUUGUCGGCUCAUCCGCUGCUCUAAUUCUCUUNNNNNNNNNNNNNNNNNNNNNNNNNNNNNNNNNNNNNNNNNNNNNNNNNNNNNNNNNNNNNNNNNNNNNNNNNNNNNNNNNNNNNNNNNNNNNNNNNNNNNNNNNNNNNNNNNNNNNNNNNNNNNNNNNNNNNNNNNNNNNNNNNNNNNNNNNNNNNNNNNNNNNNNNNNNNNNNNNNNNNNNNNNNNNNNNNNNNNNNNNNNNNNNNNNNNNNNNNNNNNNNNNNNNNNNNNNNNNNNNNNNNNNNNNNNNNNNNNNNNNNNNNNNNNNNNNNNNNNNNNNNNNNNNNNNNNNNNNNNNNNNNNNNNNNNNNNNNNNNNNNNNNNNNNNNNNNNNNNNNNNNNNNNNNNNNNNNNNNNNNNNNNNNNNNNNNNNNNNNNNNNNNNNNNNNNNNNNNNNNNNNNNNNNNNNNNNNNNNNNNNNNNNNNNNNNNNNNNNNNNNNNNNNNNNNNNNNNNNNNNNNNNNNNNNNNNNNNNNNNNNNNNNNNNNNNNNNNNNNNNNNNNNNNNNNNNNNNNNNNNNNNNNNNNNNNNNNNNNNNNNNNNNNNNNNNNNNNNNNNNNNNNNNNNNNNNNNNNNNNNNNNNNNNNNNNNNNNNNNNNNNNNNNNNNNNNNNNNNNNNNNNNNNNNNNNNNNNNNNNNNNNNNNNNNNNNNNNNNNNNNNNNNNNNNNNNNNNNNNNNNNNNNNNNNNNNNNNNNNNNNNNNNNNNNNNNNNNNNNNNNNNNNNNNNNNNNNNNNNNNNNNNNNNNNNNNNNNNNNNNNNNNNNNNNNNNNNNNNNNNNNNNNNNNNNNNNNNNNNNNNNNNNNNNNNNNNNNNNNNNNNNNNNNNNNNNNNNNNNNNNNNNNNNNNNNNNNNNNNNNNNNNNNNNNNNNNNNNNNNNNNNNNNNNNNNNNNNNNNNNNNNNNNNNNNNNNNNNNNNNNNNNNNNNNNNNNNNNNNNNNNNNNNNNNNNNNNNNNNNNNNNNNNNNNNNNNNNNNNNNNNNNNNNNNNNNNNNNNNNNNNNNNNNNNNNNNNNNNNNNNNNNNNNNNNNNNNNNNNNNNNNNNNNNNNNNNNNNNNNNNNNNNNNNNNNNNNNNNNNNNNNNNNNNNNNNNNNNNNNNNNNNNNNNNNNNNNNNNNNNNNNNNNNNNNNNNNNNNNNNNNNNNNNNNNNNNNNNNNNNNNNNNNNNNNNNNNNNNNNNNNNNNNNNNNNNNNNNNNNNNNNNNNNNNNNNNNNNNNNNNNNNNNNNNNNNNNNNNNNNNNNNNNNNNNNNNNNNNNNNNNNNNNNNNNNNNNNNNNNNNNNNNNNNNNNNNNNNNNNNNNNNNNNNNNNNNNNNNNNNNNNNNNAAAUAUGAUCUCAACAUAUCUUUGGUGUAUAUUGAAUCACAGGAUGAAUAAACCUGAAACCUGCGAAUAACAUGAGAAUAGUUUACAGCGGUAGGCUCCGAUGUUACUGGUCCUUCGUGAAUUUAUUCAGAGACGCGAAAAAGAAGCCCAAUCUCUCUCUCUCUCUCUCCCCCCCUCUCCCACACCCCUCACAAGGCCACACCCCCCGUCUGCGCCCUGCGGCCGCUCCUCUUCUCUCUCUCCCGCUCCCACACCACUCACGAGGCCGCAUCCCCCCUGCGCCCUGCGGCCGCUCCUCCUCUCUCUCCUUCUCGCACACCCCUCACGAGGCCGCACCCCCCGCGUGCGCCCUGCGGCCGCUCCUCUCCCUCUUCGUACGGAAAGGGCCACACCCCUUUCCCUUGGUGUCGCCCUUCGCUUAAACGAGGCUCCGCGUCGCCCCUCUCUCAAACGAGGUUUUUUGAGACUCUUUUCUUCUUUUUUUUUUGCAACUCAAAAAUUAGAUCUACAAUUUCUUGCGUUAUCACAAUUUUUUUGAAAUAAAUUUGACCCACUUUUUUUCCCUGAUUUGUUCAUUUUUUUUUUGAAAUAAAUUAGAUCUACAACUUAUGAGGUAUUCUGGUGAUUUCGGUAACUUCAACCCACCUCGAAAAGCUCGUCCAACAACGGCAAGAAAUUGAAAUGAGAGGAAAAUACGCGCUCGCCCGGCCUCCAAUGGCGCAACCACGACGCACGCACACUCGAGCGGCCCACCAAAUCGACGUCAAAAAUCUCCUGAGCUCGAGCCAUGGUCUCCACCAAGCACACGAUUAAACUAAAGAGAGAGAAGAACAAGCGCUAAUUAUUCUCUCUCAGGUGGAUAGAUAUGGGGGGAGUAGGUGGUGUGGAUAACCACCAACCAAAAAGACACUACCACCCCCACCAACUCAACAAGCCAGCUGGAGUACCGGCACCUGAUUUGGUUAUCGGUACUCGGCCUCUCAGCCCGCAAGCUCCCACACAGGGUAUUGGUACCAGCCCGAUGCCAUACCGGUACUCAGCAUCAAAUUGGCACAACCUGAGAGCAUCAGUUCUAACCAUACACUGGGGUACUGGUACUCCCCUGUAUGGUACCGGUACUCAACACUGAAGUCCUGCACUUUGCGGAUUUCAGCGUCAGAACUCCACUCUUGCCUCGCGUCGAGUCUGUUUUGCAUCCAUUUUGCGCCAAAACGACUCCGACUUGUCCCGACACUCUUAAGAUGUGUCGGCAAGCCUCAGAUAUUGAAAUCUCACUGGCAACCAAACAUCAGGGAUACUACAAUAUGAAUUUGACUUUAAAACCUUGAAAUGUUGAAUUUAAAAUCUGAACUGGAAUUUAAAUUUCAUACUUCGAGGAAUUGUCCAAUAGUGUCCUAUCUUCUCUUUAUAGAUGACUCCAUUAUAUUCACCAACGGCUCAAAGAGCUCACUUAAAAAUUGGACACAGUUUAUCAUAAAAUAUGAAUCAUCCUCAGGUCUGAAAAUCAGCAGAGAUAAGAGCUGUUUCAUAAUGGCAAAGAAAACUAUACCUACAAGUGCUUCUAUUGUUUCCUUGGCUCUCUUCCCUGAUAUACCUGAGCCUAAGGGUUUCCUUAUUCAAAAGUAUCAUAAAAUUAGUUUAUUUUUUAGCACUAGUAGAUAAAGUAAAAUUUAAAAUUUAAAAUCUAAAUUUAAAUAUUAAAAUUUAAAAUUAAAACUAAAAACUUAAAUUUAAAUUUUAAUAUAAAAUUUGAAAUUCAAAACUUAAAUUUAAAAUUAAAAUUUGACAUUUAAAAAUUAAAAUUUAAAAUAAAAUUUAAAAAUUUUAAUUUUAAUGAAAAUUAAAAUUAAAAUUAAAAAUUAAAAUUAAAAAUUAAAAAUAUAAAACCUAAAAGUUUAAAUUUCAAAUUAUAAAUUUCAAGAUUUAAAUUUUAUCUUAACUUUAAAAUUUGGCCUUUAAAAUUUUGAAAAUUAAAAUUUGAAAAUUGAUAUUUAAAAUUUAAAAUUCAAUAUCUAAAUUUAAAAAUUUAAAUGAAUUUAUAACUAAAAUUUAAAAAAUUAAAAAUUAAAAAUUAUUAUUUAAUAUUUGAAAUAUAAACAUUAAAAUCUAAAUUUAAGUUAAAAAUUUGAAUAUAAAAUUUAUAUUUAUUUUUAAAUUUGAAUUCAAAAUCAAAAUCAGGUUGUUUUGAUGGAACAAAAAAAAAUCAUAUUUUAAGAAACAAAUUUUAGCUAUUUUUGAUUUUGCAUAUUUAAAAUAAAAAACUGAUUUUAAAAAUUAGAAUUAAAUUUUUUAAUAAUAAAUUAUGAAAUACUCUGGCACCCUGUUUGGAUCGGAUAUAAAGGGAGGGAUAAAGGGGUUAUCCUCCCUUUAUACCCAAACAAAAAUUUGAUAUGGUGGGAACCCAGUAAGGGUAGGAACAAUAGUUCCCACCCGAAUGGGAACAAGCUUGGCCACUUGGGUAGAGAGAGAGAGAGAGAAUUUUGUUUUAAAAUUUAGAAUUAAAAUUUUAUAAUUUUAAAAUUAAAAUAUAGAAUUGUAAAUUGUAAAUUUUAAAGUUUAAAAUUAAAAAUUGAUAUUAUAAUUUUUUAAAUUUUAAAUUUGAUAUUUUAUAUAUUUUAAAUUUAAAUUUGGUCUUAAAUUUAAAAUUUAAAUUUAUAAAUUUGAAUAUUUAAUUUUAAAUUUUAAUUUCAAAUUUUAAAAUUAAAAGUUCAAAUUUUUAACUUUAAAUUAUGAGUUAAAUUAAAAUUUAAAUUUAAUUAUAGAAGUAAUAUCAUUAUUUUCUAUUUAUAACCAACAACUAUUUUUCUUAUUCCCAAUAACCAUCUAAGGGCUUUUUUUGCAUUUAGCCCCCUGGCAAAUUUUUAUUUUAAAAAUAGCCCUGUCAAAAUUUAAUUUGUAAAAAUAGCCCUAGACCUGCCAUGCAGGCGUCACGUCAGCGCCACGUGGGCGGAGCUGGGGGCGGUAGUUAAGGUAAACACGGUGAAUGGUUCACCGUGUUUGGUACGUAUUUUUUGUAUAUUGAAAAAAGAAAUAGGGAAUUUGUAUUCCUUUUCUUCUCUUUUUCAAAAAUCCGAAUCCGAACCCGAAAAUUAAAUUAAAAUCCAAACCCGGAUCCGAACCCGAUAGAUUUUAAAAAUCCAUACCCAUAUCCAUAUCUAACCAAAAACUCGAAACCCGAACCUGAACCCAGCGGGUUUUAAAAAUCUAUACCGUUGGAUGAAAAUCUAAAAAAUAAAAAUUAUUAAAUAUUUUAUAUAUUGUAUAAUAUAUAUAUAUAUAUAUAUAUAAUUUAUUCGGAUUUGGAUUCGGAUAACAUUUCGGAUAUUCGUACCUAUUGACAUCUUUACUCCCUAUUCCUCUUUUCAAUAAAAAUACGUACUACAUGGUGAAUGGUUUACCGUGUUCAACUUAACACACGGUCCCGGCCUUGCCCGCGUGGCGUUGACGUGACGUCUGCGUGGCAGGCCCAGGGCCAUUUUUGCAAAUUAAAUUUUGACGGGGCUAAUUUGAAAAUAAAAAUUUGUCAGUGGACUAAAUGCAAAAAAAGCCCACUAUCUAAAUAUAAUUUUUCUAAUUUCAGCUUAUACUCAUAUUUUUAUCCAAAUAAAAAAAUAUUUUUAUUCUUAUAAAAAUUUAUACUCGUAUCUAUUUUUUGUAUAACUAGUUCCUACUAAUUUUCGAACUAAACGAACCCUGAAGGAGAAAUUACUUUUGUUUUAAAAUGACUUUUCACUAUUUAGGCGGAACACCAACGAACCCUCUUGACGCAACGUGCCCCGUUUUUGGUCGAAAGAGCAAAGCGGGAAAUAGGAGGAGCAAAACCCUGAAAAUAGAAAGAGCAAAACCCUGGGAGCUCGCUCUCACCUCUUCCUUCUCCCCCUCUAGGGUUUCGGCAUUUCGCGAGCGUCCGAAGCUUUGUCGCCCAUGGCGAGCGCCGCGGCGGCCACCACCCAAGCGGCGGCGACGGCGACGGCGACGGCGGCGACGGCGACGACGAACCCUAAACUCGUGGAUGAAUCCCUCUGGUGGGAUCCCUUCGUCCUCCUCUACGACGACCUCGACCGAGCCCCUCUCUCCGACGAGCUUCCUCACGUUCUGGUACACAUACGCCUCUCUCUUCACUUUCCCCUACCCUACGAUCUGUCUUAUACGUCAAGUAGUGAGUUGAUCUACAAGCGCUUCCGAUUUCUUGCAGGUUAACAAGAUCAAGAACAACCGCUCCUGGUUCUUGGAAUCCCUCACGCGCUUUAAACCCCCGAACGAGGUAUCGAGGAGAGCUCUUGAUUCCCCCGAGUUGAUUCUAGGGUCGCAGCGCUUGGUCAUAAAGGCCGAGCUCAAAGAAACCGCCCUCCGCGCUAGCAAAUGCCUGGUAGUUAAUGCAGCUUUUGAUUCUUUUCUGAUUCAGUAGUAGGAUGUGCUUUUUGCAAUCUUUACUUGUGAUUGUAGUUUGCCAGUUAAACGAAAUUCUGGUAAAUUAGGCAAGAUGGAUAAUAAUUGGCUGAAUUACACUAUCAUGCACUUCCCUAUAGUUUUUUUUUUCCCAUUUUCUUCACCCUGCUCUUUUUUUAUUUUCAGAACUAUCGUUUUUUGUCAAUCUCUAUACUACUAGCAAUAAACCUAUUAGUUUAGAUGGAAGCUAGCAACUCCAUUAAAAAGCACUGAUUGAAAGUAGCAGAACAUAUAUGCAGCUUAUUUUGACAAGAAAAAAGGAAACAAUUAUAAAUAGCAAGAAAAAUAAUUGAAUUUUAUAAUUUGAUAGAAGCUUUCAAGGCAUCUUUGUAGGGGGGCUCAUUUUCCUUUCAUUCCUACUAUCUAACUGAUGCCUCUUAAUAGAGUUGUUUGUAUCUUUCUAAAUAAUAGAUAUGCAGUGUGGUGUGGAGAUUGGAGAGAAAAUAACAAUUUAUCUAUUUAGUGAUGUGUUUGAGAAGAGAAAAUAGUGUAGGGUAGUAAAUGAGAAUAAAUGUAUAGUAUAAUGUAAAGAUUGAUAAAAAAAGGGAUAAUUCAAUUGUGUCUCGGAAAAAAAAAAUAGCAGUGUGGCAAUUGAAAAUAACACUAUAUUGUAGUAGGAUAUAAUAAACCCGGUAAUAGUUUGAUCAGUAAAAAGAUAAAUACACUAUGUAGAAGAAUUUUGGCAAUAAAACUUCUCAAGCUAUCAUAUUUCCUUGUAGAGGAAAUGAUUUUAGAAAGAUAGCAUAUAAUUCCUCUAAAGGCAAGUAAUUAACAAAAUUAUGGACAAGUUUGAAUAUGGUUCAUAUUUCAUAGCUACUUCAGACCAUGGUGCUUUUCAUCAAUGCUUAUGUGGUAAUAAAUAAUUUGAAGAAUUAUUUAGACAAUAUAAAAAAAUCUUGAGAAUCAAUAAAUUCUUGAAGAAAGUGGGAUUAUCUUGUAAUUCUUGUUACUAUGCUUCUCAUGUCAAUAUGUAAAGUAGGUUAUGAAUUUUAUGUGUUUUUAAUUGUUGGAGUCUUGGAGAUGAACUUGAACUUUUCUAUUAAUCAUGAAUAGUGGAACAUGAACCAUAAAUUAGAAUGGAACACAAGAGUCCUUGGAUAUGGAGUUUUUAAACUUAACGGUGGUUUUAAUGAACUCUAGGAAAACUGGAAGGACGUGCGAACAACGAUUUUGAGUCUUGAGUUUGCAGCUCAAUAUUUGAUAACUUUUCCAUCUCUUAGAUAGCUAUUUAUUUAAAUUCGCCUAUUGAAAAUUUCUUUUCUUGGGUGAUUUUGCUCAUUUUUGCCUUUAGAUCACUUUUUUAUCAAACUUUUUUUUUGCGGGGGGGGGGGGGGGGGGGGGGGGGGGGAGGGUAUUUUGUACCAAUUAGUUGCCAGAUCUACAUAAUCACAUUCACAAAUUUUGACAAUAAAGGGUAUAAACAUGGGGUGCUCUUUUUAUCUACAUUCAGAUUGUAGUCUAUAAAUGUAAACUGCUUUUUGAUAUCAUAUGGUGGUAUAGCAAUUUCUACUUUUAAUGCGUGUAAUGAAACUUAAUGAAACUGAUUUUUUUCUUUUGUUUGUUUAAAUAAAGGUGUGAACUAAAUGGUUUUGCUUUUUCUAGAAUUUAGAUGAGGUGCAAACAUACAUUAUUGUUGAAAGAUCCUUGGAGUUCAUUAUACCUGUUGACGAUAUCGAUGGUCAGGCGCUUUUGCAUUCGGUGAGUAAUUUCCUGAGUACUUCUCUUUACUGCUGCUUUUUAACCGUAUGUUCUCUCAUAUGAAUCUUACUGGUUAAAAAUAUUAAUAUAAUCAAAAUUAUGUUUUCUAAAAGUAAUUUACCAUAUGUAUUCAAAAUGUGAGCUCAAUUUUGUUCUCUUUGGUGUCAUAAAUGAGACCUGGCCUAUUGUUUUUAAAGUUGAGAAAUGCAAAUGCUUUCUAUUCUACAAGGUCGAUUGUUUGCUUUGAACAUUAUAAUUCUUAGACUUUUGCAAAAUCGAGUUGACGCACUUUUUGUGUAGGAGCUUCUAAACAAUGAGUUGGACCAAUAUCAUGAAUUAUGGUAGUGUAUUUACUAUUUAGAGAUCGAAUCUAGUGUUUUGGUGCUUACAAGGCCAUUUUAUUUUUAUCUGCAGUCAUUUUUUUCCCUCUCUAAAGCUUGACUGCUAAGUCUAGGAAACCACUAUGAUGUUUGAAUAUUUUUGAUAUGCGGUCACUUUGAUCAUGUUUCAAAUACCAUUCUGAUUGAUGUUAAGAGGUCCAUAAUUUUCAUCAGCAAGCUUCUUAUUCUCUGAACCACAUCCCAAACAUUUUAAAUCUGCCUAUAAUGAAUUUUAUGACAAUUGGAAGAUUUCUUGAUAAAGAUAUACUAAAGCUUUAUAAUGUGCAUGAUUUGCUAUUAGUUUUGAUGCAUUAUUUGUAAGGGCCAAGGAUUGCCAUGUCAAUGGCAUAGCUGUUGCCGGUAUGCUAGCAUUAUGGCACGACACAACAAUACAUUGGCAUUCGUUGGCACAUGUUUUUUUGGUUAAAUUUUCUCUUGAAAAUUUAGUUUUUUAGAGUGCUUCAAUACAUCUAAUGGCUAUCAAAAUGGUUUAUGUAUCGUAUCUCACACUAUUCUGUAAGAAUAGUCCAUUGUUUGCAUUGAAAAUCGUAAUCCUAAGAGUUGUGCAAAAUCCAACUGAUGCACUUUUUGUGUAGGAGCUUCCAUAUAAUGAAUUGGACCUAUCUCGUGAAUUAUAGUAGUGUAUGUAGAGAUCAAAGCUUGUGUUUUGAUGCUUUUAAGCUCAUUUUUACAAUUUUUAUCCACAUCCUCUCGUAAACUUGAUUGCCCGAGUCUAGAAAACCACUAUGAUGUUUGGAUAUUUUUGACAAGCUAUCUCACUUUGAUCAUGUUUCUAAUACCAUUCGAAUGGACGUUAAGAGGUCAAUAAAUUUGACCAGUUGACCUCUCAUUCUCUGAACCGCAUCCUAAACGUUUUAAAUCCAUCUGUAAUCAAUCUUAUGAUGAUCGGUGGAUUGCAUGGUAAAGAUGAACUAAAGUUGUAUAAUGUGCUUGAUUUGUUGUUACUUUUGAUGCAUUAUUUGUAAGGACUAAGGAUUGUCGUGUCACUGGCAAGGCCUGUGCCGUUGCCAGUGCCAGGAUGACACAGUCACACAGCGGUAUGGGACGUGCCAAUGUCGGCACGCUCACUUGCCAAUGGCACACAAUUGGCACAUUGGCACAUUGGCGUUCAUUGGCAUGGGUUUUAAUUAAAAUUUUCUAAAAAAUUUAGUGUUUUGGUGUGUUUAAAUAUAUCUAAUAGCUAUAAAAAUGGUUUAUAUAUUAUAUUUCACACAAUUUAGUGAUAAUAGGGUCCUAAACAUCUUAAUAAUUAAAAAAAAUCAUUUUACAUAUGUUAUGAAAGUAUAUGCAUGAAACCAAAACAAAAAAAAUAAUAAGGAUGAAAAUUUAUAGAAAAAACACUACCAUGUGUAAAUUCACUAGGUCUAAAUGAUGAAAGAAAUUGCAAAAGUUCUUAUUUUUAUUUUAUUCCACUACCAGUUUGUCUUAUUAUGUAAUGGAACUUACUAAUUACUCAAAAUGUUAGUAUAUUUACAAGAUCUAUAUAUUUUAAGUAUGCAAAAACUUAUGUAAAUCUUUUUACCUCAAAAAUCUCGAAAAGAUCUCAAAAAAGCAAAAAAACUAUUUUGUCGAUAUUGUAUUGGUAUGACCACGUGCCACAUGCCGACAUGGUCUCGGCAUGGUACAAAAUGGUGGCAUUGGGUGGCAUGGGCAAUUCUUGGUGUUAAAUUACGUGAAAAUAACCAUUAUUCUCCAAAAACUUAAGCUACAGAGAACGAUGUCUUUAAUAUUUGUAUUCUACGCUCCCCCUCAUGUUUGGGUUCAGGAGUUUUUGAUAGGCCCAGAUGCGGAAUUGAAUUAAAUAGGAGUAAAUAUAACCAAGCCACGAUAAGAAGUCGUAAGAACUCUCUUAAAGUAAUCAACCGAUCAACAAGGUCAAAUCUCAAAGAAGUGAUAAAUCAAGUAUAACUUGUCCUACUCUACAUGUCAUAUGUUAAUUGAUGAUGUAAAUUAGUUAUGAUCACCAUGAAGCAUACAAAGAGACAACUAGGAGAAUAGCUGACAUGAAAGAUAGCUAAGCAUGUAAAGAAGUGGUGUCAUCAUACGUUGUACUAAACAAAUGUGACAGAGCGAUUGAAACAUAAAGGAAAUCCGAGUAAAUUCAGCCAUACCGACAUCCGAAUUGAAGCACACCUCUAAUCUAAAUACUCGAGUCCUCGACUCGACUAGCCUCUAGGCAUUACUUGGACCUAAUCAAGAUCCACAAGGGCCACUCUUAGUACCCUAUAUGUGUUAUCAACACUAGCCACGACAUGUCCACGACACAACACGGGGCAUUCAAAACAUCAGUCCCAUUUACUUAUUUUUUGAAAUCGACUGGUUACCAAACCGGCACAUCAGGUCACUGAAAUAGCCCUUGAAGGGUCCUGAAUCAUGCCGUACAUCUCCACAACCAAACCGUUGUUCCAAAACGCACCAUUUUAGGUGUCGGGACAGUCACGAAAUUUGUAUUUUGAAAAGGGCUAUGGCCUCGAAAUUAGGUUGUAUUAGGCUUUGGAAUGCCUUUUUUCGGCAUUGGAACUAAACCACAACGCCCUUGUUGCCACUAGGGGCUUAAUCAGGUUGGCAAGCCAACAAGGCUCAGCCACUAAUUGUGGAUAGCGACUACGUCGGUUUCACGAAUUCGGGACUGAAACCUCGCAUUACCAACCAGUUACGACAUUUUAUGCAUUGAAUUGCACCACUUCAGCCUCGUAAGGGUUUCCGGGCCUUGGACCACCAGUUCAAAUGUCAAUCAACGAAGAUUGACGUUGCCCAUUAUACUACAUGUGAAAAGCGUCGAAACGGCCAAUUAUGCCAAAACACAAGCAAUAAUAAAAUUUUGUGAUAACGAAAUCGACUUUAGGGCACAUUACCCAAACUUCCACGAAUGGGAAGCCAACAAGCUGCGCGAGGAGGUCGACAUGGUUUGGGUCAAUCACGCACAAGAUUUGAGCCUUGUUAACGGUCGUCGACGACGGGGGAGGAAACUAUGGCUACGUAGAGAGGACUUGGAUACAACUGGCAGCACCACGACAGGACUAGGGAGGAGUAGCCCCAAGGGAGGGGUCCAAGGGGCCGUGCAUUGCCGGGAUGAGGUUGCAGCAGCGGUUGCUGGUUGAAAGAAGAGAUCCCGACCACGGGCUUGAAGAGGGAGCAGCUACCUAGUCGUAGGGAGCAAGAAAAGGGAAUCGGCGAUAGGCUCGGCCUUGGGGGAGGCUGAGUGCGGCUGAGGAGGUGUUGGUUGCUUGAAGGAAGGUGUCUUGGUGGUGGGGAGGCUGAAGAAGGGAGGCUGACUGCUGGGCUAACUCGAGAGGCCAAGAAAGCCAUGGUUACUGCUCUAUUUCGGCUGAUCCAAAUGGUGAGGGAAGUUGGCCAAGCGGUGGUGCGCCAAGAGGUGGUGCUCGUGUGGGACGCGGCAAUAGGAGAGGGAUUCGUGGCUAAAGAAGAGAGAAAGGGAAGGUGGCUAGGGUUUUCAAGAAGAGAAAACCCUAAUUUUCUUUUUUGCCGCCUUAUAUACGUCUUGCGGUGAAAUCACGCCGGAGCUCCCAAACUUAAAGAAACUUUGCUCCGCACAAUCUUUUCUUUGCCAACUUGCGUAUUGACCCUUCUGCUUCCCAAAGAAUUGGAAAAAAUCAUAUUAAAUGAUAGCCCUUUAUACACUAUGGUCCUCCGAAAAAUUUAACAUUUACAAAAUAGCCUCUGUUUCUACAAGAAUUGUUUGGCGAAAUACAAGGCAAUCUUACCUCGAGCCAACCUAUCAAAAUCUUACCUCAAGCCAACCUAUCAAAAUCUUACCUCAAGCCAACCUAUCGAUGGAAUAUACGUGCCAAAUAAAUGAUAGUUCAUAAAUGUGGAUAUAAUCAAUGAAAUCGGAAAUAGCUGGUACUUAAGAUAAAGUGAGAAAAAUGUCUAACUGAAGUAAGGAGUUAGUUUUUAAAGAAUCUGGGUAAAUGUUGCCAUUAGUUAAUUCGUUUGUUGUCGUGCUUAGUUUUCUUCGUGUCCCGUUCAGUUUGUCUUUCUAAAACUACACAUGAAAGGCACACCUGAAAUGUGCUUUAUGUCUGCAUACUAGGCUAAUUUUAUUACUUCAAAAGUUCUAGCUUUCUGUUCAAUGUGUUUUAAUCGCAUAUGAUGUGGGCAUAAAAAUCAAUCAAUCAUAUGAAAAUGGAUGCAAUAGUAGAUUUUGGAAUUUGUAUAAGUUUGGAAUCUUUGGAUUGGGAGUGACAAGAUGGAAAUUUCUAGGAGCCAGUUAACGAAAGAUAAGUGAAAUAAUAGUAAAGUUAACGUGAGAAUAAGAGUGCAUAUAAGUAGGAGCCUUUUUUUUUGGUGAGAAAUUCCAUUUAUGUAGAUGGGAGGUUUCAACAAAUCCAAUAAAAAGAAAGGAUUACCAAAACAAUCCAAGCCUCACAUGUCCCCUCCCUGUCCCCUCCAUGUACAAUCAAAAAUCAAGUACAAUCAAAUUCAAGUAUGUACCCCACCAUCGGAGCUAAAUCUCACACUACUAUCCCUACCAUUGCACCUGAAAGGAAUAUAGUAUCCUUGCAAAAUGCUUUGAACCCCUACGUCAUGCCAUCUAUUGCAGUUCCUAGCAACUGAGGGAUCCUCUUCUUGUGAAAAAUUUGUUGGGAACUUAUCUGUGAUAAUUUUGUCAGGAGCAAUCUAGUAACAUAAGCAUAACCCGCAUCCAUCACUCUAAUUGCAAUUAUGAGAGUCAGUAUGUUAUCUCCCAAUUGUUGGAAUGUUAUUUGUUGCUGCUUAGAGAAUUUUGUUAAGUACAACUCUGCUUUAUAUUUCUUUGAGUCUUUUGUUAUACAGCCUGCUUAUAUUGGACCAUCAUGUUGUUCUUAUUUCAAAUUCGCCAUAACUACUUCCAGCCAAUAAACUUGCCAUAUGCCUUCCUAUGAAGUUAAACUUUUUGCAAUUUUUAUGCCCAUUAGUUUUGCUUUUGUCUUGCUUCAAUCAAGUUCUAUAAAAAAUAGUCAAAAAAUAGUCAAGUGUUUUUUGGUUAUGCCUUUGUUGUUGGUGUUUCCAAUGAUUGUAGUCUUUUUUAUUGAUCUUGCAUUGCGUUUGACACUUCUUUUACAAAUUUGAAGGUGUUGUCACAAUAUUACCUUGAGCGGCAAUGCUUGCUGAAGUGUGUCAGGAAAAUCCUCGUGCAUGCCUGUAAGUCUUUGAAGUUGCUGGAUAUAUACAAAUUACUGGAUUAUGUCUCUUCAUAUUUUCUGGUGCGAAGUGCAAUAUGAAUAGCAUACAAUCAUUGGAAGUAGUUUUGAAAGACAUGUUUGUAGUUCUUUCUUGUAGGAAUAUUAUUACCCUACAACCAAGGUUUAAAGCGCCGUCCCGUGCCGUGCGGCACGGGGCGGCACGUACCGUGCCGGUAUAGGGAGGGUCUCGGACACCCCCCGUGCCACGGCACGCAGCGCUGUGUCGCACAAGAUAGAGCAGCACGGCGCGGCGUGCCACGACACAAUGCCGUGCCUGCACUGUGCUAAUUUUUUUUUGCUUUUUUUUGUUUUUUUUCUUUUUGUUUUGUUCUUUGGGAUAUCCAAAGUAUUCUGGGUAUUCCACGCUCCCCCCAAAGACAUUGCAAAUAAAAAAUUUACUUAUUAGGUACGUUAAAAAAAUUAUAAUUUAAUUUUUUUUGUUUAUCAAUAUACGGACAAAAGAUUUGUCCAAGCCCUCCGCUUCCACCAUAGAUAUCUAUUUUUUCUUUACAAAUUAUUUUAUUAAAAUUUAUCGCACCGCGAAAUUUUUGGCGAAUUAAGGGAACAAAAUCGAACUCAAUAAACAAAUUUUAAGCCGCAUCAAACAUAAAAUUUUAUUUUUGCACUAGAAGUUUGAAAAUACUAAUAAAAUUAAAAGCCAAAUUAAAUCAAUUACUUAAAUUUAUUUAAUUUAUUUGUCAUAUAAUUUAUUGCUUAAUUUUUUUGAUAGAUCUACUAUUUUUUAAAAAAAUUAAUGAAAAAAUAAUUAUUUUUCAAAUGCUUUGUAAAAUAAUUUUUAAAAUAAUUUUUUUGUAUUUUAUAAAAGAAAGACUGUAAUAUGGUCAAAAGAAAUAAAGAAAAAGAAGAUGUUUUUGCAUUUAAAAAAUUCUAACUUGUAAAAAUUUCUAUUCUGCAUUAGGUAUAAUUGUACUUUACAUACAAAAAAGCUUACAAAUAUGUUAAUUGAUGAGUAUAGUAAGCUAUACAUAGCAAAUAUUCAUAAUUUUUUGAUUAAAAUUUUCGAAAUAAUAUUAUAAGAGCUUAUUGGAACCAAAAAAAUUGAAAUAAGUCCGUGCCAAAGCGUGCCAGUAGGAGGACGUGCGUAUCCAUCGGCACGCAAGCGUACAAUGUAUCGGCACGAAAGCGUGCUGGUGCCGUACCGUACUAGGCAGAUAGCGGCACGCUUCCGUGCCACGACACUUUAAACCUUGCUUGCAACUAUUGAUUGGUUCUUAGCUAUUUAGAGAAUAGGAAUGUGUUCAAAUUAUUACAACAAAAUUUGAUCAUAGUCAACGCUGAUGUUUUCAUUUUGCCAGAAGUUUCUGUGUGGUUGUUAGUAGAUAAAUGUUGCUUUCUUGUAGAAGAUUUAACUCUCAUUGAAGUAAUCCUACUUCUCUCCAUAAUAAAUUGCUUUGAGAGUAACAUACUACUAGCUGAUUGCUAGUUCUACUAUAUUCUAUUUAUUGGCCGAAUCUUGCCACAAGAUCUUUGCGGACGAUUAUGAACAUAAGAUUCCUAUCAUUUGCAAGAUAAGUAAGAUUCCUAUCAUAUGUAAGAUAAGAUUACUACCAAAGAUUGCCAUGCUAGUGGGACAAGGCAUGCCAUUGUUUCAGUUGCACGGCAUGACACAAUGCAGCGGCACGCCUCGUGCCAAUGUAGGCACAUCUCACCGUGCCAGUGGCACAUAACCAGCACAAUUGCAUGGAUUGACAUUUUUAUUAGAUUCCAUAGAAAAAUGGUCACUUAGAGUGUUUUAAUGUCUUUGAUACCUUUAAAAUAGUACAAAUGUUAAUAUUUUACAAACUUUAGCAUGAAUAGAAUAAUAGACAUCUUAAUAAAUCAAGAAUACAAUUUAACAUGAUAUGAAAGUACAUCACGAAGGCAAAAUUAUAGUCAUAAUUGAGGAAAAGCUUACAUGAAGACACUACCAUCACUAGAUCAAAAAUGAGAUAAGAAAUCGGAUGCAAUCGUCAAACUCGUGUUACUUCAAAAUAAAUUGUGGUCUAAUCUAAUUAUCGAGGAUUCUCUAUUUGCACCAAAAAGUUAGUAGAUCUAUAAGAUCCAACUGAAACCAUUACGUAACUUUUUUUUUAUCUUAAACUCAAAAAUAACCUAAAAAGUGCACAAAAGACAUGUUUUCUUGAUAUAGUUCGGUAUGCCCCUGUGCCACGUGUGGGCACGACCUCGGCACAGUGCGGUAUAGUAUGACACAAGUGAUACAUGAAUAUAUUUAUAUCUAUAUCUAUAUCUAUGGAGAGAGAGACAGUAAUAGGAUAAAACCCUUUGUCCUAUCAAAGUAUCAAGUCAUUUAUGAUGAUCGGGAGUCGGCAUUGCUGAUUGGCACAGUCAUACAUGAUCUAGAGCAUUUGAAGUCUCUAGAAAUCGAAUUUGGUGAUUUUUAAACAUCACUCUCUAGUACAUGAAAAGACCACAAUGAACAAUUGAAAACGAAUAACGUUGCGAAAAUAGAGGUUAGAUCUUUUCAAUGCAAAAUUGUUGUUGUCAAGCAUGAUCAAGCUAGUGAAAAGAAUUUUCUAUUAAAAAUAAACCAUUAAAUGAGCAAUUGGCUUACACAGGCGAUUAAUAGUUAUUGAAUUUGAGGCCUUUCAGUCAUGAUGUAAAUGACUUUUAAAAAUUGCCGAAUUUGAUUCCUAGACAUAUCAAAUGCUCUAGAUCAUGUUAGACAGUGCCGAUUGUCGAUACAGACUCCCGAUUAUCAAAAAUGACUUGAUAGGACAAAUGGCUUUGUUCUUUUAAUAUGAUAGCAGCUCUACUCUUAUUUUUAUAAUAUAUAUAAAAGCGGAUAGAAAGUUUUAGUUGACAGACGGGAUAUUAAAUGGCAUAAAAGAUUAUUCCAUGCACAUUAAAAAAAGAAAUUUUAAUAAUUAACUUAAAACAAAUUAGAUUUGAAAAAUAGAAUAGCUUAAAAAUAGACCUUCAAAUCAACAAUUGUUUAAAUUCAAAUAAUGAAUUCAAAAUUAAAUUUAAAUUUUGAGGUUGAUUCAUAAAUUUAAACCAAAAUUCAAGCUUUAAUUUACAAUUUGAAAUCAAUUCAAAAGUUUAAAUUUUGGGUAUACAUUAAAAAAGAAUUUGUACGUUAUUGAACACAUAAAAAAUUUUUACAGCAUUACUAAAUUGGAUUGGAAACAUAUCAAAUUUGGAAAAUAAAUCAAUUGAAAAUAUACUCUGCCAUCAGUAGCCAUUUAAAUUCAUAAUGCAUAUUCAAAAUUCAUUUUAACGUAAAAUUCAUAUACUCUGCCAUCAUUCGUUCACUAUAACUAGUGUGUGUUUGUGUAUAGUGCAACUACUACCAAAAGUAUAGUAGCUGCUGUACUCAUAAGUUCUUAUCUAUUAGAUCUGUUAAGAAAUUAAUAAGAGGAAAAAUGGAACAUCCUUGUCCUCUCAUUGCCACCCCCCCGGUUUCCCCACUUAUCCCCUGAACCCUAAAUCCUAAAACCCUAAACCCUAAGCCCCCACCCCAUCCUUCUCCCUUAGCAACCUCUCUCUCCCCAGGCCCCAAGCAUUAACCCCUUGUGCUUCUGUGGCCCGCUUCGAGAGGAAACCCCUCCACCUCCCAUGCGUGCGCAGCACCACCUCCUCUAUUGAUAGCCUACUCGGGCAGCACAACUGUUGCUGCCUCAUAUUUCCUCUACCGUGGGGUAGCACCAACUCCUCUUCGUCAUCUUCCGAUAGCCUACCUUGGUGGGUGGGUGGUUAUGAGGGGCUGGCGGUUAGGGAAAGUUCCGAGAGAAGGGAGGGGUAGCAGACGAUCUGAGGAGGGGACGGUGGUUGGGGGGAGAGGAACAUUACCCACCUUGGUGGGUUGCCGACUGGGGAGGUGUUGGUGUUGCAUGCGCCAAGUAGAGGUGGGGUUUUUCUGCUAGGGUAGGCUAUCGGAGGAGAAUGAUAAGGUGGUGCUGGGGGAAGAGGGGUUGCGGAAGGAGGAAUAGUAGGAGGCGGGAGGCUACUUCUGCCCGGGGGGAGGCAAGAGAUAAGAGGAGGAAGGGGGCGGGGUCUGGGGUGGGUCUGAGGUGUUAGGUGGGAGAAGGGGGCGGUUCUCGCCGAGUGGUCUGCCGACGGAGGAGGGGAUAGUGUUGCACUUUGUUAGUUAAUUCGCAUAUUAUACACGUAUUAUUCACAAAAAAAUGAAAACCAAAUAAAACGCUCCGUUUUCGAACUUUUUCCAAAAAUUCAGAAUAAAAUGCAUUUUUUUUCACUUGUUGAGAGUAUUCGCAAUUAAAACAGUUUCGCCGAAUUAUAUUCUGAAAAAUUCGGAUUAAGAAGCCCUGGAAACAUGAAAAUUUUCAAAAAAAAUUGGAUUGGGCGGCUGCGGAAAGGUGAAAUUUCUCGAACUGGAGCCGCGCGACCACCGCUCUGCAAAUCCGUGCACUUUCUCGUGAGCAGUCGAGCAAUCCUGCCUGUUCAAUUUUGAAGAAGACAUAGAUACAAAGCAAAGAAAGGAGGAGAAUUAAGGAAGAAAAAAGGCGGAGCGAGGAAGAAGACUUGAAGAAAUCGCGGUGUAGAGGGUUGGGGAAUGGCGGGGUCCACGAGGUUGCACUCAGCCUCGUGGACCAUGUAGGAGUGAGAGGUCCACGGUGGACCUCUCACUCUCUUCCCCCUUUGUGUGAAUAUAUAUAUAUAUAUAUAUAUUUAUUUUUAUAUUUACAAAAAUUAUAAUUAUUUAUGAUAAUAGUAUAAAUUUUUUUAUAAAUUUAAUUUAAUAGACGAAUUUUUAUUCCGAAUUUUUUAAUGAUAAACAUAAAAUUUUCGUAUAAAUCGCGUACAUGAAUUAUUGACGAAUCCGAUUUUUAAACCGUAUUUUUCAACGAAUUUAAAAAUUAAGAUACAGAUUUUAUUCGUAUUUUAUCCGUAUUGAACUUUUACCGUAUCCGAAUUAACUAACUAUGGUGUUGCAUGCUCGAGGCGGAUGUGGGCGCGCUUUCCUAACAGGGCUGGCCGCCAGAGGUGUUAGAUAAAUUACAUUACAAAAUCCGAUUGUGAGCAAAAUCUAACAAUUUAAUGUUAAAAAAUUAAAAUAAAACUCAUGGAUGAGUGCUAAAAAUUUUAAAAACUGUAGAAGAAGAAAGCCGAAAAUUUGAUUGAUCUAGAAGCGUGCGUAGCACUGCCCUAAGGUGUAUUUUCGUCCUUUGUGCGAGAUUAACUGAGAACACAACCCCAAGAUACGAUCAGAAUUCCUAUUGCGAGCACGAUCGACGCGAAAGUUGAUGGAGAUUCUUUCAACACCCAAUAAAUAGAAAGAAUAAAGAAAGCGGUGGAAAAGGAGGAUGGAGAGGAAGAACAAAAUUUUCUUUCUUCUUCAUUUCUUUCUCGGUUCCUUUAUGGAUAAGCAAGGGAGGAGAAUAUAUAGGGAUGGGAGAGUUGAACGUUAGAAUUGUUCGAUCCCAUGUUCGCUAUGGUUAGGUGAAAGAAACGGAAGAGUAAAAAGAACAUUAGGUUUUCUUUCGCCCAAAGAAAAACUAAAAUAAAUAAUAUAUUAAAUAAUAAAUACAAAUCAAAUAUGAGAAACAUAUAACCAAAAACUCCAUUUUGAGUUUUUCCUACAACAAUCCCCUACAAAACUAAAUUUGUUUUGAAACAAGAAUUAAUAUCAAAAAUUGAAAAAGACAAAAAUUACUGGGUGUUUAUAGUAUGCAAUGGUUGAGGUGUCUUUCAGAGACUUAACUACCCUUAGAGUAAGCAGCUUCUAUCAGAAAGAAUUGGAGUAAACCAAGUCUUGAACUACGUUCCUUUGACCUCGACUUAAAUUGCCACACAAUACAAAAUUCUCUAUUGUGGGUAUGUGCGUUAAUGACCAUGCACAGUACCUUGAUUUUCCAUAAGUUUCUAUGGAACCCACAUCACUAGCAGCAGCCAUAUAAGAGUACUCUUAUCUAGACGUUCUCUUCUAGGGACAUAUGCAGAGUCACAUCUCAUGAUAAUUACUUGCUCGGAUACCAUUAAAAGCUAAAAUCUCAAUCUCAACCACUACGCAGAGCACUACUCACCAUAAUUAUGAGAUUAGACCUAAAUGCCACGGCUUUAACGUUUUUGUUUGUAAAGCCCGUGCGGCCCCCGCCUUCCUGCUUGAAGAUGGUCAAGCCUUCGUCCCUUUUGCUAGCUCGGACCUUCGUGUCCUACGACUAAGUAUGUAAAGGGAAUGACAAAGAGAGAGGCAGAGGUUCACUCAAAAAACUAAGUACUCUACUACUUAGAAAAAGAGAUUACAACACACAUACACACUCCCUCUUGUGUCCUUUGGCCUAAGCCAAACCCCACUUUAUAUAGGCUCCUAGAUACAUUGAAUCUAGCUACUCACUAACUCUCUCAUUAUGACACGCAUUAACUCACCUUUAUAAUGAGCCAUAAGUCCAAGAGUCACCCCAUAACUCAUGGGAGUUUCAUAACCAUUGAGUUUCCUAUAGUGGAUUGGGCUCGGGUCUCUUUAACUACCCGCUCAGCUAGCGAAGUUGGGCCACUGUUAAGAAGUUAGCGGAAAACAUUUUGUCCGUGACAUUCUCCCCCACCUAAUGCGCAAACGCCCUCGUCGCGCGCCGAGUCGCUCCCGGUCCGCAUAGCCUUCCGCGCGGUCCGUCGUGCCUUCGCGCGCGAUCGGCCCGGUGCCUUGCUCCCAAUGUCCGCAUCUGUCCUCGCACCAGCACCUAGUGUCUUGCCCUUCUGAGCAAGUGCACCAUCGAGCCUGCUGUGCGAAGAGUUCGCCGGAUGUGCAUAUCCUCCGCGACACGCACGUGCACUCUGCCAAGCUGCAGAACGCCCCGAGUGUGCAUGUCCUUCGCGACACGCACGCGUACUCCGCCAAGCUGCUGAACGCCCUGAGUGUGCACGUUCUCCGCGACACGCACGUGUACUCCGCUAAGCUGCAGACGCCUUUUGGUCCUCGCAGGCUCCUUGGCAGAAUGACUUGCACUUUGCUUGGACGUUGGCCACUCUAGCGCCGCAUGAGACUCGAUAGUCUCGACGCUGCUCAGGCCCUCCUCCUCGAGGUCCCCAGCCUUCUCGCGCUUCACUUCCUCGCAAAGCUGCAGGGCUGUCAGAGUUGAACUCUCGUUGCACCCUUUUGCGUUUCCUAGAUCGCGGUGCUCUCCCCCACCGUUGGCCUCGCUCGCCUUUGGUGGUUCACCCCGAUCGCCCUCGGUUCGCUCAGUAGUGCCUCCCUCGUCUUGAGGUCCUCGACCUCCUUGACCUGGGCACCGAUGUCCUGAAGCAGCACAUCUCGCACAUCCCGCUCGUCGUUGCGACGGGCAAGAUUCACCUUGAACUGCUCCAGACGAUGGAGGAAUGUUGUCAUAGCUGCAACAAUAUCCUUCUCCAUCCAAUGGAACCCCUCCUCCAACAUCCCCACAUGUUGGGAUAGGUCGGAGUAGCGCUCCUCCGCUCUCGCAGCAGAGUCCUCUAGCACGCCUAUGCGGUCGUGAAGCAAGACAGACUCUUUUGCCAGAGUCCACGGCUCCUUGCUCUUGCCGCGCUUGGUCGCCCUGGGCUUAGGCACAACGUCAACGAUGGUAGCUUCCGACGAAGACAUGGUUCCUCCUCGAACCGGCUCUAAUACCAACUGUCACGGCCUUAGCUUUUUUAUUCGCAAAGUCCGUGCGGCGCCCUCCUUCCUGCUCGAAGAUGGGCAAGCCUUCGUCCCUGUUACUAGCUUGGACCUUCGCGUCCUACGACUAAGUAUGCAAAGGGAAUGACAAAGAGAGAGAUAGAGGUUCACUCAAAAAACUAAGUACUCCACUACUUAGAAAAAGAGAUUACAACACACAUACACACUUCUUCUUGUGUCCUUUGGCCUAAGCCAAACCCCACUAUAUAUAGGCUCCUAGAUACAUUGAAUUUAGCCACCCACUAACUCUCUCAUUAUGACACACAUUAACUCACCCUCAUAAUAAGCCAUAAGUUCAAGAGUCACCCCAUAACUCAUGGGAGUUUCAUAACCCUUGAGUUUUCCAUAGCGGGUUGGGUUCGGGUCUCUUUAACGACCCGCUCCGCUAGCAAAGUUGGGCCACUGUUAAGGAGAAGUCAACGGAAAACAUUUUGUCCGUGACAUAAAGCUCUUCAAUAUAAUAUGUAGAAUAGCUUGUUUUAUCACAUUGAACCUUUUUCAAAAGGGUUUUCUAUCACAAAGGUACAGUUCUCAUUGUAGGAAGUAGGGUUUAAAGUGCCGCCCCAUGCCAUACGGCACUGGGUGGCACGUACCGUGCCCCCAAGAUGGGGGUGGGGGCACGGUACAACACUGUUUGAAAAAGCAUGCCUGAGGCGUGCGCCGAGGCGCAAUGCUAUUGCUAAGGCGCGCGCCUCGGUCUUGAGGCGCGUGCCUCGGUCUUAAGGCGCACGCCUCGCAAUAUUUAAGCAAGGAUUUAAGUGCUGUGGCACGGGGUCGUACCGGAAACUUGUCGGCAUGGUACGACAUGGUGCGUGCCGAGCCGCUUCGAUGCUUGCCGGUCAAAAAAAUUCUUAUGUGCCGACACAUAAUACCAUGAAAUAUUUAUUUUCGUUAGCAACAAAAUAUUCUAACUAUUUAUUAUAUCUUUUUAUCAUAUCUUUUGAACUUUAUUGAGGAAAUUACUUACUAAUUUAAAGAAUAGAGGGUUUUGAGCUGUGCCAUCGGCACAGGGUCUGUAUUGUGCCGGUAUCUUGUUGGCACAGUUGAUACAGCCCGUGCCGACGGACACUUAAAACCUUGUAUUUAAGUUUUCUGGGAUUUUUUAUUCAAGUUUUUGAGUUGUCAAGUUUUGAAUUUGCAUAUUAUACUUUAACCCGAUAAGAAACUUAAAAAAUAUUAAAAGAAGUCCAAAAAAAUUCAAGUUUUCGGAUUGUUGGGUUUUGAAUUUGCAUCUUAUACUUUAAACCCGAUAAGAUAUUUAAAAAUUCUUGAAAGAAAUCCCAAAAAUCUCUAAAAAAAUCAGUUGCUCGUCCCCUCCUCUCCGUCUCCUGUUCUCUCCACAUCCUCUCCUUGUCGAGCAUCCAAUAGCAGCUGUGCUAGCAGUAGGAAGCAGCGGCGGCAAACUAGUGGUAAAAGCCAACGAGACAAUGCGAUACCCAGGAGGGUACCGCGGCACGUAUCAUGCUGGUUCCCUUUUUCUUGUUUUUUUUGUUGUUUUCUUUUGGGUUACCCCAAGUGUAAGGAAGUGAAUCCUCGAAAUCCGAGGAUUAGACUUCGAUUGGAAUCGACUAGUUGUCGAGUAUGUAAGCUUCGGAAAUCCGAAGGUGAUUAAAAUGCGUAAGGUACAUUAAGGAAGGGUCCGCGAGAGUAGCAGUGCAAAUCUGCACUGGAGCAGAAUUACUCUCGGGGACCGGUCCCUGGCAGGGAGGGACCGGGCUCCGAGAGCUGGGCUUGCGGGGAUCCACGAUGCAACCGGUCCCUGGCAGGGGAGGACCAGUCCCCGAACGCUCGCCCGACGAGAAAAGCCGAAAUUUGGCUAAGUCUCGAAAAUCCAACUCUCGGGAACCAGUCUCUCGGAGACGGACCGGUCUCCCGGGGACCGGUCUCUCAGGCGGGGACCGGUUCCCGAACGCGAAACUCCCUCUGCCCGAGAUGGAAGGCUCUCGGGGACCGGUCUCCCCGACCUGGGACUGGUCCCUCACUGCGAAAAUGCCCAGUGAGUGCUGCUGCAGAGGAUGGAAAGUUGAGGGGGCUAUUUGCAAAGUGGCCUAUAUGAAGGUGGGGGACCCCUCUCUUCCUCUUAUUUGCUCUCUAUCCCUCUCACACCCUUUCCCUCUCUCUCUCUAGAACGAAAGGAAAAGAAGAAGAGAAGGGAAAGAAGGAAAAAAAGAGAGAGAGAAGGAGAAGAUCAAGAAACAUAGGAAGAUCAUCUUCUUCCCUCUCUCCUUCAAGCUAGAACCAGUUUGGAGCUUGGUAUAGAGGUAAGCUUCAAACCCAUCCAUGGUGGAUUUCUUGAGAUUGGGUUUUAUUGCUUAGAAAUGGUUUGAAUGGAACCUAUUGAAGCUAAGGUGAUGGUUCGAGCUCGCAUUUGAAGCUCGCACCACGGAUCCCAUCGUUGCCAACCUAGGGCACGGAUUCGGGAUUUUUGGAAAUCUAGGGUUUUGAUCUAUUUUAAUAGGUCGUAAACCUAAUUGCUAGGUCACGAAACGCAUCGGCGAAGACGGUUCGUCGAUACGACAAGCGGGUGCGAGGAUAUCGCCGAAUCAAGCGUUUAAGGGUUCGGAUCGACCCGAGAAGUCGAAGCGUCGACCAAGGACUGCGAGAUUGAGUUUUCUAUCAUCGCGACAUCACCAAGAGGUGGGUGGUGACCAUCCCGAAGCAAUCGGGCUCCCUCUUAUGUCUUAGUAUUUUGAGACCUUGCAUCUUGUGUUCAUAUGCAUGGUAGGAUAAAUGGUGCAUCGCCUUUCCUUAUGCUUUCCUAGCUGAUAUCAUAUUAUGUAUUAGUUGUUGGAUAUAGUGGAUUGAUGAGGAUUGGGUCGAGACUUAUAAUCCUAUGGUGCAGCGAUGAAAGAAUGACGCAAUGGUUGAAACAAAAGAACGAGUGGCAUCUAGUUGUUAGUAAAAAAUGAACGAGUGGCAUAUACGAGUCGUAGCGUAUAUGAAACCCAUUGACUAUGUUGAUAGUAGCCCUAGAGGAUAGGGUACCCUUGAGGUGGGAGAAUUGGAUCAUACUCAUUAUCUGUUCCCAACUCGUGAUGGUCGCUCCACACAAGUAGUGCGCUCCACAGUCGGUCACGAGGGAUGGCCUAUUUGGGGUCCCGUGGGAUAGGGAUGGCCUAUUUGGGGUCCUGAGGGAUGGCCUAUGUGGGGUCCCGCAGACAGUUUCGGAUUCGUAGUUUGAGUCUAGUCUCCCUACGCGUCGAGAUGGCUAUGUGAGUAGUGGGCGAAUUCGUGAGUGAGCCACGAGAUUGAUGAACAAGUAAAUAGCUUUACUUCUUGGACAUAUGACGGGCUAGUUGAUUAUCUACUUUGUUGUGCAUGCAUUCUACAUAUACAUGAUUCGGGCACAGUAGUGUAGCUUUACUAUUCUGUUAUUACAGCUUUCCAUAUCCAUCUAUCUGUUUAUCUACUUGUGCCCACUUGGACCUAGUGGGGAGACCGGCGGAGUCGGCGGCCGAACCCACUGGGAACUAUGGAAGAUAGUUCUCACCCCACUCUUUUCAGGUCCGAGUUCGAGUGCCCCGGGCGAGCGUGAGGAUCGCGGUAAGGGCCUAGCGCCCUAGUUGCAUUAGCUAUCUACCUUUUUGCAUUAGUCGUCACCCUUUGUAUUUGAGAGUAGAUGAUGUAUAGGGGUGAGGUUUGAGAGUGCUUGUACAUAUGUUCUGGAAGAAUGUAAAAGAUGGAAUUAAAUGUAUUAAGUUGAAUGAAUGUAAUAGAUAGAACUCUCUCUUUAUUUACUUGUAUGUCUCAUAUUUGUAUCUUGCUCUUAUUUGUUAGCACUGGUGGUGCUCCUUGUGAUCGUGUAUGUAUGAAUUGAUCCCUAGGCAAAUUCUUAUACACGAUCUGGUUGUUUAGCCUUGGGCGGACAGGCGAGGUGCUGUCCGUUCGGCGUCUGUUUGACGCGCCCGAACCGAACCGAAUUGGUAGCGGUUUCGGGGCGUGACAGAUAAAGUGGAAUCAGAGCCUUUAAGAGCAAGUAAAGAGAGAGUCUAGGAUAACCUAGGAGACCCUAGGUUGGUAAACCCUAAGAUUAUAAGGGCGUGAGUGAACGUGAAUCUAUGACGGUGGCGGAAGUUGAUCGAUUGGGUCGGGUUGAUGUCAUGUCUCUAGCUGUGAAUAGAGAUGGAUCCAAGUGACACUAGUUUCUUGGCUCGUAGUGGUUGUGUCGGCGGCCGACGAUGCAACGCUAAGAGUCUAGAACUAGAACACUUGUGUGCUUCCGCCCGAUUUCAUUGUCGAGUCGUUUAAUUUCGUGAACGCUAAAAAGUUAUCGGAUUAAGAUAACUAACCAAGCUGUUGCUUUUCAGGAGCAAAUGUCCCCAAGACGUUACGUACAUAGGUCUGUUCCGGUACCGCCUUUUGCGGUGCCCGAGCAGCCAAGAUCGGAGGAGGUGCAGGAACUGCGUGAGCAGGUCGCUGCAAUGUUGGGCGCGAUGCAGCGCCAGGAGGCUUGGUUCGAGCAGCUCCAGGGAUUUGUGGAGCGAGAAGCGGUGGCUGCGGCCCCGACAGCGACGAAAAAAAUUAAAAUAAGUUCGUGUCAAUGCGUGCCAGUAAGAGGCUAUGCGUAUCCAUCUAUACGCCAGCGUAUCAUGUAUCGGCACGAAAGCAUGCCGGUGCCAGGUAAACAGCGGCAUGCCUCUGUGCCACGACACUUUAAACCAAGGAUUUAAGUGUCGUGGCACGAGGUCGUGCCGGAAACUUGCCGAUGCGUGCCGGAAAUGGUGUGUGCCGGGUCGUGUCGGAAACUUGCCGAUGCGUGCCAGUCACAAAAAAUACAUAUGUGCCGACACAUAAUGGCAUGAAAUAUUUAUUUUCUUUAGCAACAAAAUAUUCUAACUGUUUAUUAUGAAUCUUUUUCAAAUCUUUUGAAUUUUAUCGAGAAAAUUACUUACUAAUUCAAAGAAUAGAGAGUUUUGAGCAAUGCCAUUGGCACGGGGGUUGUAUCGUGCCGAUAUUUUGUUGGCACGAGACGGCACGGUAGAUACGGCCCGUGCCGAUGGGCACUUAAAUCCUUGCUUUAAACGUUGGCAGGAAGGCCUCUCAUGAGCAAAGUCCCAUCCUCCUUGCUAACUCCAGGACUUUAAUUGUACUUAGGCUUUUUGUCAUGCAAUCUGCAGGAUUCUAUUCAGAUCUGAUAAAUCUCAAAGAAACUACAUCAUGGGAAGAUAAUAUCUAACAAACUUUUGUCUCAACUUACUGCAUCUCUAAGCUUUAGAGUUUACCAAUGUCUUUUUACAAAAAUCUAUUGUAGCUUGAGAGUCACACAGAAUAGAAAUAGGAGGAAUAGGAAAAGGCAUCAAUGGAAUCUAUGACAAAAGUUUCUUGAGACAUUCGGCUUCACGACAGGUAAUAUCAAGAGCAACCAAUUUGGCUUUCAUGGUGCUUCUGGCUAUUAUGGUUUGUUUGGUGGAUUGCCAAGAAACUACAUUACCACCAAAAAUGAAAACAUACCAAGAGUGGAUUUAAUAUCCAGAAAAUUAGAAAUCCUAUUGGCAUUGUUGUGUCCCUUAAUUAUAGCAGGAUAGUCAAUAAAUCUGAUAGAUAAUGAGAGAGUAUCUUUAAGGUAACGAAAUACUAUCUCCGGAGCAAUCUAUUGAGUUAUACUACUGUUAUUAGUAUAUCUAUUCGAUCUGGAUAUGGCUUACUCCUAUUAGUUAGGUAUAUCAUUGAACUGAUAAUCUGGGCAUAUUUCUGUUGAUUCACAGGAUUACUAGUGUUCUUCGCAAGCUGAACACAAUGUUUGAAAAGGAGCGCCUCAGGCGUACGCCUCAGCACCUAGGUGCGAGGCGCGAGUCUCAACGCCUUAGGGAGUGAGGCGUGCGCCUCAGAACGCGCCUCGUGAUAUUUACGUUCAAUGUGCCUAGGGUUUGAACUUUCGGGUUUUGAGUUUCUUCAAUAUAUUCUAAAAUGUCAAGAUAUUUUUUUUUAAAAAAAAUCCUAAUUUGAACGCUUUCUUUUUCUUUUCUCUUAGUCGUUCUCUCUUCCACCCCCCAAUGGCAAUUAGUAGCAGCAGCAAGAAGCAGGAAGCAGCAGCAAGCGCUUUUAAGUUGAAAGUUGAAACAUAAUUUUUUUUUAAUUUUUAGGCUGAGAACAUUUAGGCUUGCGGUUUCUUUAACUUUUUAUGGUUAUUUUGUUUUUGUGUAGCUAUUUUUGAAUUUUUUAACAUAAAACAUUUAUUUAAAAUAGGAUUGUUAAGAGUGUUUUAUUUUUAUUAGAUAUGAGCCUUACCUUCUUGAGGCACACACCUUGCGAUGUGCCUCGCGCCUAGGCUCCAUAAGGCCUUUCCGCCUUUUUGUGCCUUGCGCUUUUUCAAACACUCAUGAAUACUAGGAUUAAAUGAAAUAGAAACAUGACAACAAUUUGAAUACCCAAAUUUAUUAAAAACUAUUCAAGUAUGAUGAGAUCGGGUUAGAAGAAUAGAAGGUAGUAGCAAAAGAGGAUAGAGGGUAAAAAGAAAUUUUCCCUAUUUUCUUUGUUUCUUUCUCAGUUAUUCUAUGGACGAACGUGGAGGAAUAUAUAUAGGGAUAAGGGAGUUGAACACUAGAAAACGUCUGACCUCACGUCCUCUCUUGUUAGGCAAAAGAAAUGGAACAGGAAAAAGAACAUUAGGUUUCCUUUCGCCCAAAGAAAAAAAAGAUAAUAAAUAAUAAAUAAUAAAUACAUAAUAAAUACGAGAAAUAAAUAACUCAAAAUUCAAUAUUUUGCAUUUUCCUACAACAGAAAGGGAACAAUUGGGUGGUGCUAGGGGAAGAGGUUGCUCCCGGGGGGUGAGGUUGGUGGGGUAAUGGAGGAAACAAAUGUUUUGUUUUUUCUCCUAUUAGUUUCAUAGCCAUCAGACUUGCACAGACCUUGAAGUAGAUCUGAUGGCUAAGAACUUAUGAGUACAUAAGAGUAUAGUAUCUGCACUCUCUAUAUAUAUUUAAAACAUCAAUGCUCUAUGAUAUGCAGGAGAUAUUUAUUGUUACAAUCAAGGUUUAAAGUGCGGUGGUACGAGGGUGUGCCGUUGUCUGCCUGGCACGGUACGACACCGGCAUGUUUCUGUGCCGACAUAUGAUACGCUUGUGUGCCGAUGGGUACGUAUGACUUCCUACUGGCACGCUUUGGCACAGACUUAUUUUAGUCUUUUGGUUCCAGUAAGCUCUUAUAAUAUUAUUUUGAAAGAUUUAAUCAAAUAAUUGUGAAUAUUUGCUAUGUAUAGCUUACUAUACUCAUCAAUUAACAUACUUGUAAGUUUUUCUGUAUGUAAAGUACAACUAUGCCUGAUGCAUAAUAGAAAUUGUACAGGUUAGAAUUUUUAAAAUGUAAAGACAUCUUUUCUUUCUUUUUUCUUUUGGCCAUAUUUCUUUCUUUUUUCUUUUGCUUCGAAAUUUGUUUAUUGAGUUCGAUUUUGUUCCCUUAAUGCGGCAAAAGUUUUGCGUGACUGUGGUGGGCUGCGGGCUCCCCGCAGUAUGGAUUAGAUAUGUAAAUUUAAAAUUUACCUUACAUUGAUGAACAAAAAAAAUUAAAUUAUAAUUUUUUUGAUUUGCCUAACAAGUAGAUUUUUUAUUUGCAAUAUCUUUGGGGAGGGUGUGGGGUACCUAGAAUGCUUCUGGUACCCCAAAAAACAAAACAAAAAGAAAAAAAAAAGCAAAAAAAAAAAAGCCGACAAGGCAUGCGUUGCCGUGCCUCUCUGUUUCGUGCCGCACGGUCCCGCAUGCUGCGGCACGGAGGGGCGGUCCGAGACCCCCCUGUACUUCAAUCCUUGGUUACAAUGGGUAAGAGUGGGGAUCCAAGAAAAUCUUUUAUAAAUAUCUUUCGCUUUUCUUUUUUUAUUUAUAUUUUUUUCCUUCGUGUUUCAAUUUUCACUUUUUGCAUUUGCAUUCUAUGAUUUACAGUCGGAACUCCUGAAACAUAAUUAUAAACAGCUGGAAAUGUCUUUUUGGUGGUGGACUCAAACUGAAACAAAUAUCAAUUUUGCAAGACAUGUUCUAGGUUUCCUUUAAUUGUUUGUUUUCAAGCUCAGGUGCACUAAUUUAUGCUCAUGAUGCCCUACAAAUUGACAUGCUCAUGCUGGAUGAUGUUCUUUUGAUUCCAUAUUUGUGUUGGUUCCUGGAUGAGCAUGCUCGUCAUUAAUUUAAAUUUUUGUCACGCUUCGUAUAGUUGUAUCAUCUAGAUGCAAUUUUCUUUUGUGAUUCGAGAUAGAAAAAUGGCUUAUUAUUAAUGUAGGUAUUAAGUUCUGAAUAAAUGUCACAUCAUGAUGCAGUAAGUUCUGAAUAAAUGUCACAUCAUGAUGCAGUAGUUUAGUUCUAGUCUAGUGAAAGAAAAGAGAUGACAAGCAACUUUUAUUAUGAGUUUUAAAGUUGAUUGAUAUUGAAUAGGCAAGUCAAUUUGCAGUUAUUAUGCAAGGGCUUAGUGGCCUUGGAUGGUUCAAUAUUAACCAUUGAGAUUUCCCCUUUUGAAUCUUCCUGUUUUAUUAUCUAGUUAAUAACUGGUUACAGUACCAUAUUCAUGUGCUAUAAAAGUGAUGCUUUACAAAGGAUAGUACCUAGUAAUUAUAAUUUUCAUGGCUAGUUAUGUAAAACUACUUUGUUCCUUGGUGCAUACUAAGUUGAUUUCUUUUCCUUGGCAUAAAAUAAGUGGUUAAAGUUUCAUUUCAUUUGCCUGUUUAGUUAUGGUUGAUUUUUUUUAGUUGCCACCCAAAAUUUGAUGAGGUUUUUUAAUUUUGUUUUAUCAUGAAAUUAGUAUUAAUAAUCUCUUUUCGCAGUGUAUGCAAACGAUGAAUCUCAUACAACUGAAUCUCUUAGGAGGGAGGUCUUGCAACUAGUUAAUGACGGGCUGGAAAGGAAGCUGCUAUCCAUCUUACAGGACCUACUUUCACCUGUAACUUAUGCAAAAACUGUAUGUUGAAAAAAUCAAUUUUGCUCCCAAUUAAUAGCCUAGCCACUCCGAUAGACCUUUUAAGAUUAUGAAUGAUCUGGAAUCAUAUUUAUUUGACAAAAUCAAUUUUGCUUUUUAAUGUUGGCAGCACAAGUUAUUAUGUCUUUUCUAUUUUAUAGGUAUGAAAAUACUUGUCCUGCAAGAGUAACCUAACCCUAAUGAACUCAUCCGCUAAGCCAUGUCAUUCAAAAUGCAUAUGACAAAUAAAGCAGAUGGAAGGCUGAACAAUUAGUGAUUGGUAUUUUUUCUCCCUUAAUAUUUAAGAAAAUCACUUAAAAAGUACUUGUUCUUAUGGUUUCUCCAAGCCAAUAGAAAAAAUACCUUCUCUUUUGUUUCAUGUAAACUUUAUACUGUUUUGGAAAUGGCCAAUGCUUCUCCGAUAAUGGUUUCCAUCACCAUUUAUGGCAUUGGAGGAGACGAGCUCCAAAGUGCUUCCGGCUUUUUCGGAAACUCUGAAGCAUCAAGGUAGGUGCGUUCAGUGUUUAAAAAAGCGUGCCUUAGGCGCUUAGGCGCUAGGCUAACCAGGCAGCCCUUAGGCGGGGCGAGGUUGCCAAGGCGCGCCUAGCUCUAGGCUCAAGGCGCACUCAAGGCGCGCCUUUUUCAUCUAACAGGUUUAGAUCUAGUUCUGUAUACUGUAAUGGGUUUGGAUCCAUAUAUUUAUUAGUCUAAUGGGUUGAAACAUCUAAAAUAAAUCCAAAAUCCUAAACUAGCAUAAUCUAAACACUAAACAAUCAUCAAAAUCUCUCCGCUUGUUCCUCUCUCCCGCUCCUCCGUUGCCUCCGGCUCUCCCACUCUCCUGCUCGUCCAAAUGUGGACUAAUUAACAUUUCUAUUGUGGCGUAUCUUGGCUUGGAGUCUUGAAAACUUAGCUUUCGUAUGAUCAUUAUGCCCUUUUAAUGAUCUUUGGCUUGAAACUUCAAUUUUUUAUACAUGUUACUUUUCUAUGAUCUUGUGCUUAUAAUUAUAUGUUUUUUACAUCAAAGUUUCCUAUAUGUUUUUUGAAUUAUUAGUUAUCUUUUUGCUGGCCUUUAUUUGGAGGCAAAAAGGUAAUUUGUUCUUUAACUUUUUUUGUAUUAUUUUGUUUUUCAAAAUUAUCAUAUAUAUCGCUUGGCUCUUUUUCUUUUCUUCAUUUUUUUCUUCCGAAAAUGUGAUUAUUUGGGUAGUUAUAGAAUAUUUAUUGUGAUAAUAUGAUUUUAAAGAGUAUUUAGUACUACUUAAUAAUUAUUAGAAAGUAUAGUAAAAAGCUUCUUGGUUUCAGAAUUCUAUAAAAUUGUGCGCCUCACCUCUCUCAAGCGCGCACUUACGCCUUGCGCCUAGGCUCUAACAGCCCUUUGCGCCGAGGUGUGCCUUAGGUUUUUUAAACACUGGGUGUGUUUGGCACCGCAUUCCUAAACUAGGCUUGAAUGUGAUUGAAUACUGAAUAUUCUCUCCUUGCUAUUGUUGGUUAUCUUGUCACGGGCUUGGUUGGAUGCGGAACAACAACUUUGUUAAUUGAAGUACAUAAUGGAGAAGUAAAACCAAGUUUCUUAUUUUUGGUUUCUUGUUGCAAAAUUGAACCCUUAGGCGUGUGUAGACUGCAAUCAUUAUUCCUCGAACUACUUUUCCAUUUGUACUUGUGUUGAGCUUUUUUGCUUCCAUAAUCUCUUGUUGAAAUUCUGUUACUGAAGCCACAUUAUCUGCAUAUGCAGAUGUGGUGACAUUUUGUGACUUCAUACAUAUUAGAUGAGCAUGAUAUGCUAAUUAUAGUAAGUUUCUCCAUAGUGCUUACUUUGCUUUUGGGUGUGUCAAAGUGGGUAUAUCAGCAUAAUUGUUUCCUGCGGGCUAGUGUAAAGAGAAAUUUAAGGGGCAUAUUGACAGAAUUGUUUUGUGGGUUAAAGGGGUGUUUGGUUUCUCGAGAAAGUGUGGAAAGUUGUUUUUUCGAAAUAGUUUUUCAUGGAAAACACCCUUUUCCAUGGUUUUUGUUUUCCAGAUAACAAAUUCGGAAAACGGAAACUCUUGUUUUCCAUGAAAUAUGGAAAUACUUUUUUUGAAAAAGUUGCUUUUCCUAUGGACUAAACGGAUGGAAAACAAUUUUCCAGCUAUAAAACUUUUUUCUGGGCUAUUUUCUGGGAAACCAAACACCUCCUAAUGUAAAGAGAAAUUUUAGGGCUUAAUUGUGUUAUUUUCAUCUCUAAUUUAAGUUUUGUUAGUUGUCUAAAAUAGUUUUGUACAUGGGCAUGCACCAAUAAAGGUGUACAUAGGGUAGGGGAUCACAUGCUUGUUUGGUGUUUGCUAGGGAAGCCAUGCGACUGAAGUCCAAAAUAAUGUUUUUGUUCAUGGUUGAGGAGUUUCAUUAAAAUAUCUACGUUGCUUGGCAACUAAGGACUUUGUGUUGUAAACGCAAUGUCAUUCAUGUGACAAUGUUUGAGUAAAUUGCAUUGAUAAUUCCUAAAGGGUGACUUGCACUACUAGUCCCCGAAUUUCGAGAGGGUGCACUUCGGCCCCUAAACUUUAAUUUUUUCCAUUCGAAGACUUGAUCUUUUGUACGUACACCUAAUAGUCCUAUAUCGGAUGAGAACGGGGCUACGAUUGGAUAUAUAAGAGACUAUGAACCAUAGUAAUAAUAAUUGAGCUUAAGCAUUUUGGGCCAGUGGUUUGGAUCCAAGGAGUUAUUAUUUUUAGUAGGCCGGGUCGUUACAUUUGGUAUAAGAUCCAGUUCAUCAGUUGGAAGUGUGAGGUGGGCCUUACAUUGCCUGAUGAUCUUGGGUUAUGUGUGUGUGAUUGGGCUGACGAGGACGUCAGGGUCCAAACGGGUAGAGUCCUACGUUGGAUAGAAAUGUUGAGAAUAUAACAAACUAUGGAUCCUUCUAAUAAUAACUAAGUUUAAGCAUUUUGAGCUAGUGGUUUGGGCCUAACGAGUUAUUAUUGCUAGUGAGUUGGGUUGUUACAUUUCGUAUCAGAGUUGGUUCACCAGUCGGAAGUGUGAGAUUGGCGUCACAUCACCUGAUGAUUUCAGGCUGACGAGAACGUCAGGGACUAAACUGAGGGAGUCUGUGAUAUCCCAAUAGUCCCACAAUGAAUGAGAACGGGUUUAUGAUUGGGUAUAUAAGAGAUCAUGGAUCUUAGUAAUAAUAACUCGGCCUAAGUAUAUUGGGCCGGUGGUUUGGGCCCAACGAGUUAUUAUUGCUAGUAGGCUCGGUCGUUACAAUGUGCUGAAAUUAAAUGCUGUUGUUGAGCUCCUUUUAAAUUGAGACGACAGAGUAAUAAUGUUGCAUCCUUGUCUUUACCAUGCCAUUAUCACAUCAUUGCCACAUCACUACCAUGGAAGGAGGGAUGGAGAGAAGAAAUUAUUGGCUUAAUCCAGGCAUCUACUGUGCCACAUUAUCUAUGAAUUGUAAGUUAAAUUUGUGCAUUAUGAUGCCCAAAAUUUAUGUAGUUUUUAAUGGGGCUUUUUUAAAUGUCGUAUUCACGUCCAACGGAUUACGUUUUAUUUUAAGACCUUUCUACUUGUAGUUAUUGUGUAGAUGAUGUGGCACAACUGUUUCAGCCAAUAUUUUCUCCUCUCUUUCUCUUUUGCUGAUGUACUAGUGACAUGUCAAAAUGGCAUGGCAACAAAUAUGAUGCAACAUUAGUUGAGUAAGCUCUUUUGGAUGAAGCAUGAUAGGGGAUUUACUUAUAGUAUGGAUUUUAAGUAUGAGGUUUCUAAUAAGACCAAAUAAGUUUAGCAACCAAAGCACAACCUUGGGACCAGAAGUGCAUUUUAUUCUCCAUGCCUUCUUGCAGAGCUUCAUAGUUAAUCAUUGUUCUAAAAAGUGGUGCAUAGACCUAUAUAUGCACCUGCAAAUGCGGAAGUCCUCGCUUCCCUGUACUGCAAAGACUGUAUACACGUGGCUUGGGUGCCACAUAAUGAGCACCUAAGCAAGAUAACUAGUAACCUGCACUUGAGCUAUAUGCAGAUAGAUUUACCAUAACAUAUAGUAAGGUACAUGUAUCUUAUACUGAAAACAGUUUUUAUAUAGUAAGGUACAUGAAAUUUUACAUUAUUUUAUAGGGCCACAAUGCCGUAUAACACUUUUUACGUUCAUGUAUCUUAAAUUUGUUGUAUCUUAUGUUGACUACAUAGGCACUGCAUAUGCAUCUGCCUUCUGCACGGGCGCUGUGGUACCUUGGGGUCUGCAUAUAUUGCUUUCUGCAUUUUUAGGGCAUGGUAGAUAAUGCGGUACAAGGACAGAUGUACUGUGCUAAAAUGCAGAGCAAAUAAUAAUUAACUAGUGUAGUAACCCGCGCGAUGCGGUGGAUAAAUAAUAGAAAAAAAAUAUUGAAGAGAAAGAAGAAAGGAGUUUUGAAAAUAAAAAUUCAAGUGUGUUUUUUUUUUUUUGGUAGGAAAAUAUAUGAAUUGAACUAACUAAUAUGACCAUUGAAAACAGAUAACUGUCCAAAAUCACCAUUCAAAAGGAAAACCUGCAAAGGUCGUUUGAAGAUGGAGAUGAUAAUGUUGCAAUGAUGACGACAAUGGCAUUGAAAACCUCACGGAAGUUUGCAGAAUUUUGCACCCUUUUGGGCAUGGGAUGGUUAGAAGUUGCGGGCUAGAACUGCCACACCAAUUAUGAAAUCAGAACUAACCUCUAACUUAAUCAAAAUAAUACAUAGAAAUCAAAUACUUGAUUGAUACAACCACUAUAUAAAAAAUAAUGCAAAAAAGUUAAAUUCUAAGUGGAUAUAUAGUAAGAAUUCGAGAUUAAAAUAAGGAAAAGAAAAAUUAGGUUUAGGAUUUUCGUUUCCCAAACUUACCCCUCAAUCCGUACAUUUUCGUUGUCCAAUUAGCUUCCUCCAUUGAAGAAACUGUCCGAUUACUUUCUUUUUCCAUAAAUUCAAAGAGGUCGAUAUAGAUAGAAACCCUAGAAGCACACUCUUGAUUGGGGGGGGGAGGGGGAGUCGGGUCAAGUCGGGUUGGCACGGAUUAGGGCUUGGAGGACUCCCUUGCUCUUUCCCAAUCUCUAGAUUUAAAAGUAGUAACUAUUCAUCUUCUCCUCUUUUAAUUUUACAUGUAAGGAAUUGUUUGAGGGAGAAGAAAGGACUAAUAUUGAAGAGAAAAAACUCAAAAACGUAUAAAUUAAAAAACACAUUGAUUACAGGUCAUUGAAGGGAGGGGAGGGGAAAAGCCAAGAGUAAAGACCAUUCAAAAAAAGGGCUAGUGAGGGUGAAGGAAAACUUGCCACGUGGCAAAAUCAUUGGGAAAUCAUAUAGGUUAAUAGAUUGUGCACCUGUCUGCAACUCUUAGCCUUUGUUUGGUUGGGGGUUAAGGGGUGGAAUAACCCCUUAACCCCCAUAUUAUCCCCAAACACCCCCAAAAAUGGGUGGGGUUAGCUAACCCCACCUAACUCGGGAUAGCCUAUUUUUAGGUGGGGUAGCUAACCCCACCUAACCCCACCAAACCCCAACCAAAUACUAUUUUCUAUUCAUAAUAACCCACUUCUUAUCCCACCUAUUCCAACCAAAUAUUAUUUUUCACUAUCCUGAACUAACUCCAACCCCUAACCAAACACAAAAAUACUCUAACCCCACCUUAACCGUGAACUUAACCCUAUCCCUGGAAUAACUAGUUUUUCUUAACCCCGAACCAAACAGUAUGUUAAGGGGAUGAAGGACUAAUGAAUUAAAGUAGGAGACUUGGUGAGAAUAAGACAUGGGGGCCUAAUAUCUUGCAUGCUGUUGCUGCGUGCCAUUACAAGAUUGUUAGCAGUGUGAAAGUGGGGAAUAAUCUUUUCAGCUAUUAGAAAGUUAGUUUUUUCCCCCAUUGUUGCUUAAGAAAUGAGCAGUUUCACUUGGCAUGCUGUCAUAAUAUUGUACAUCUCUUGCUUGUUCAGGCUUGUCAAAAUGGAGAUGAUGUUUAGGCCAAUCUACGAUAGUAUCAGGCUUUGAUGAUUAAAACAUUAACAUCGAUAUGUACAACAAUUUUAAUUUCUUAGAGAGAUUCUGUAAAUAUUUCUACGUAAGUUUUUCUUGACAAUUUGCAUGUCAUGAGAGAUAAGACAUGCAUUAGUCUUGUGCUUGAUGGCUCCAGAUCCAUGGUGCCAAUGUCAGAAGAAAACUAUUACUGGAAUAAUAAGAUUUAGUGUAAUAAUUUCACAGCAUGCUUGAUUAAUUUAUUCAUAAUUUUCGAAAAUUUGUUACCAAAUGUGUCCAAAAAAGAAGAGCAAAGCAAAUGUAGCAUGCCCAAAAGUGAACCAAUCCCUGUGUAAACCUGCCCUUCCCUAUGGAGAAUCAUCACCUUGUUUGUGGGCAGUUGAAGUAGAAAUUUUAGCCUAAGAACAAAAAUUUUCUGAUGGUCAUAUUUUGAUCCUUGCAGUAUGAAGAUUUUGAAAUGUUAAUUCCUUAGUUCUCGAUUUGUUAUUACAUUAUAUUUUUUCUUUUUGACUUGCAAUAAGUUGCUCUUUUGCCUUUAUUUGAUCUUGGCUUUUGUGAACUGAGUUGUUGUUUUCUUAGCAUGAGUUUAACUAUGCUUUCUUCAUUGUGUAACCGUUUUAGGAAGCUGAAAUCACAGAAUUAUGGGUGGAAGAAAUGUUGAUUGAAGACAAUUUAAUAUUGGACAUUUUGUUCCUUAUUAUGAUAACUUCACUACCUGUAAUGUUGGCCAAUGGAAGACUUUAUUUUCGAUUUUCAAGGUAUGCAUUAUAAUUAUUAUUAUUUUUUAAAAUUGUGUGGACUUCCAUUUUUAGGGCACCUUUAUCUUGAAAAUUAUUUGCACUACUCUUGAAAUACAUUUUUUACAGGGUAUGUUAAGUGGUUCAUUUGAUGUUGGAAAACUAGCCGUAUCUGUUGAAGCAAAAAAUUCUUUCUGCUAUGCAAAAGCUCAACUGCUGCUAAUUCUGAUUGAAACUUUGGACUUGGAAAAUCUUCUCCAAUUGGUUCAUGAUGAAGUGCCUUUCAGGUUAUGAUGAAUCUUUUGAUAUUUUGCUUCUGUUAUAGAGCUGCUAUACAUGUUUCUUUCCAAUGCUGAUAUGCAGUUGAGUUCCCAGUGCUAACUUACAUUUCGUGGUGUGCAUCAGGCAAGGCUUUUCUGCAUUUUCACUGUUAGAUGUUCAAGAGAUGGAUGCUGAAGUUUCAAGUCUCUCCGACUUAGGAUUCAGGGAAUCAGGGCCUUUAAUUCUUGCAUGGGCAGUUUUUCUUUGCUUGCUUUCGUCUCUCCCAGAAAGCAAUACUGAUUUGUUUACGGUAAUGUUUAUUUUCAUUAUUUAUUUAUUUUACCAAUUUUCUCAUCCAAUCUCAAUGAGAGAUUUAAUUUGUUUUCUUAUUUUUCCUUUUUUCCCCCUAGGAGAUUGAUCAUACUUCCUAUGCCCGACAAGCCUUUGAGGCUGCAGCUUUCAUCUACUUACUUGAAAUACUUCAAAGCAACACCUUGAGGGAAUCAGAUGUAAGUUUCUCCUUAAAUUACAUUAACUUUUUUUUUUCUCUUCUUGUAGUUUAUACUAUAAGCUCCUUGUUGUUAGGAAAAGAUGUUAAUAUACAUUAAGUAGCCCUGAAUUUGCUUACUAUUUCUAUAAAUGCAAUGGUUCUCAUCGAUAUUAAUAUGCUAAAGGGGAAGACAUCCAUUUUGCUUCUUUCUGAUAUUUGUUUGUGUAAAUGUUGUGUCCUCUCUUGUGCUAUCAGGUUGGUACUGUUCUUCCAUUAGUUUGGUUUGUAUAUAUGCUGUUCUCCUCUAUGCUUCCUCUUGGAAUGCUUCGUUAGCAAUAAUCAAUUUUUGUUAGCAUUCUUCAUGCACUAUGUGCUAAGGUGCAUGUGCUUGUAUUGUGCUCUCUUGAAUGCCCCAACAAAGAAAUUAGCUUGUGCAACGAGUUAAACAUCAUUCUAAAUGUGUCCUUAGUACUUGAGGAUUUAUUUUAUGAUAGUUUUCCUCCACUGAGACAAUUAGAGUAGGUUGUACAUAUGUCAUGCUCUGGGGUGUUUACCUUUACAAUUUGAAAAGGGUUCAGUUUGAAAAAGAUGGUUUUUUUUUUUUUUUUUUUUUUUUUUUUUUUUUUUUUUCCAAUAGAGUUAUGCAAAUAGCCAAUCAAUUGAGUUUAAAAAUAUAAUAAACAGCCCAGGACGUGCAUAGAUUUACCACGUGCAUAGGGUUCCUCUGUCCACAUGGACAGAGUCUUCCCUAUGCAUACAUGGUGUCAAGCACGAACAUAACAUUUAUCAUUAGCAUUAGAACCAAGAAGCAAUAUAUUCAUUCAUAAGCAUAAUACAAAUCAGUCAUACAAACAUGACUCACACUAAUGUAAACAGCAGGGUGUGAGAUACAACUGAAUGUAUCCCAGUGGGUAUAAUGCGCCGACAACCAUCAAGUUGUACCAACUGGUCUACAAUAAUAGAUAGAAAAGAACAGCAGGGUAACUAAGCAUAAUAAUAAUGAUAUUGGAAUGAAAGCAAGGUAUCAUGAUGCACAUAAUGUGAAGCAUGAUGAUAAUGAAACUAGAAUGAUAGCAAAGUAACAAGAUGCUAUAUCUGUAGUAAAGGAAAUGCAUCAAUGUACCGUCCAAUCCAACAGUACCCAACCCACUCUUGGUCACAAGGACCUCAGGCUCGUGCCGUAGCAAGUUACUUAGCAGGGCUGACAUAUAACCGCAUACCCUAGGGUAUAGCGGGGGGCUCACGGGUCGAUCAGAUCACUUGACCUGUAACAGCAGGGGCCAGUCUGCUAGUGUACACAACAUGUGUAACAGGUGCAUGACAGUCACAAUGCAUAAUGCUCAAGUAUCUCACGGUCCAACGACCGACAAUCGGCAAUAAGCAACUCCCAAUCGGGAGAGCAACAGAGCUAUUAAGGCUAAUCACAUCUAUAAUGUCUGAGCAACUAUGAUCACCUGCUCUACAAGUCGUGCACUAAUUGGAAACAAAGAAACCAGAGCAAGAAUAAAGCAUGAACUAAAUCACGAGUUGGUACAAGGAUAUAAGCAUGAUGUAAUAAAAGUGUAGUAUAGAUAAUCAAUAGCAGUAAGAACAGUAAUAACCAUGCCGAAAAUGUAAACAGUUAGGCUAUACUAUACCGAUAUCCGGAUCGGAGCAGCCACCUAAUGCAAAGAAAUCAAAUACAUGCUCCUCGCUAAGCAAUUUAGGCGUCACCCCAACCUAUAUCAAACACAAAAGCUCUAAUCAGUCCCUAGACGGCUAUCAACCGAUGGCAAUGCAUUCAGUGCGUCAUUUUCUGCUAAAUGACCACUGAAACUGACUACGGUUCUUGCACUGGUUACACGACUGACUCAACCAACAAAUACAACUGCUAUAAUACCCUAACACUGCCAGAAAAUGCUCCAUUUUAGGUGUCCGAACAGUCGAACAUAAAAUGUGUAGGAGAGGGGUUAUCGGCUCCAAACUAAGCUGUAACGAGUUCCAACAAAUGCCGAAUUGGGCAUGGGAACCAGUAGGACAAUAUACAUGUUUCCGUUGCUGCUUUCACCCAGCAAGGGGCCCCUAGAAUGGUUUCUACACAUUCCGACACUCACGAGCACAAAUAGUGUGUUGCGACGGCUGUUUUUCGCCCCGAAACACUUGGAACUGUCGUUUUCGGCACCGGGACAGCCCACGAUCCCACAACCAGCCCCAAGGCUGAUUACGCUUGGAAAAUGAUUAUGAUGGGGUCUCCAACAGUACUCGACCAACAAAUUCGGCCAAAAAGACCUGUUUUCGAUCUACCAUUAUUGAUUUCGGCUAUGAAAAAGUGUACAAGGUACACGCUCAGCCCGAACAUGUUCAAAACCCUUCAUUUGAAGUGUCGGGAAAGCGACUAAGUGUUCAUGCAUUUAUACGGCCAGCGGGAAGCGAAAACAAGCUUCCAAAGUCCCGAAUAGCACCGAUUACGGUUACUAGGCAGAACACACGCAAUUUCCGAUUCCGACGGAUCUUGGCUUACAAAAACACAAUUGCUGGAGGUUCGAACAUCAACCUCUGGCCAGCUAAAGAGUUUCACCGGGCGUUCCGACUAGAUCCAACAAGGAUCGAUCUACCACAACCCACCCACAACCAUGACAAUUACGAUUAACAUGAUUUUACAACGAAAGAAUGGAGUUUAAGACGUUGCCAAUGUUUCCCACAUUUAGGAAGCCCAAAAAGUGUGGUUUGGACAGUGACGUGGUGCUGGUCACCGUGCUCACGCUCCGAGAUGUUGGCAAUGAUCGACGGCGACAAGGGUGCCUGGAUCUAGUCGCUAUCGCACCUCCCUCUAGAGUUCCACACAAGAUUUGGCUCUUACAGUCGUUUUUGAUCGUGCCUAAGGUGAGCACAGCCCGUGGAGGGUGCUGGAGAAUACCUUGCUCACCAGAAAACGACUGGAGCAGUGCUGGGAGGUUGCGUUUGGGAGUGUUGGCUUGAAGGAGUUUGCAGCCUGGUGCAGGAAACAGCAGCGACGACAAUAGGCAGGAUCCGGCAAACCGCAGCACCGAUUGUCGUGCCGUAACAGAGGGUGACUGAGAGGAGGUCGAGGGAGAUGGUGCUUAGCCUAUGGAGGUAGAAGAACCCGCAGCAAGGCCUCGCCAAACCUCGCGUCUAGCAUGCUAUUGAGAGGAGAGGAAAUUCCGUUUUUUGGUCUAUUUCUGGGUGAUGAUUGUCGGAAUGGUCGUAGGGCUAAGGUGGAGGUGGCUGUCAGAUGGGCACGUGCGGGAGGGGUAGAGAGAGAGAGCCGUGAGGGAAGAAAAGGGAUUGUAGAAAAAGAAGAGAGUGAGAUCGUGAAAAGGCAGGCGGACCGGUUCGGACACCUCGUUGGUGGCUCGGUUUGAGCCAGCCACCUAGGGUUUCGUGUUACAAAAUCGCACGAUGACCCUCCAACAAAACCUCCCUUGCGAUGCCUCGCAUUCAUGUCCGCAGCUAACGACGCAAUUGUGCUAAACUACUUGUUGCAGCUUUUCAGGAUAGUUUAUUUUUUAGGAUGGGGGUAAAUCAUUCACUUAGAUAUGUGUUAAGCUAAAAACUGCUUAUUGCAGCUUUCCAGUAUAGUUUAUUUUUUAGGAUGAGGGUAAAUCAUUUACUUAGAUAUUUGUUAGGCUAAAGUUUUUAAAUACUAAAGAUGCUUUCUUGGUGGCAGCAAGUUAUGGAUUAGGAUUUGGGUAGAUUAAAAGGUUUGGAAUCGUCCUCUUUUCCCUUAACUGAACCCGAGAUAGACUAUCCUCUCCCUCUACUCUUUCUUCUUAUAUAUGUGUGUGUGGGGGUGGGGGGUGCAUGGGUGUUUUUCUCUUCUUUUCUUUUCUCCUUACAGAGCUCUAUUACCAAGGUGAUACAAUAUCGUCCUCCUGUAGUAUUGCUUUUGUAUUGUUGCAUUAAUUGAUAUCACAGACAUCCAGACAUUCGGUGGAGGCCUAUCCUCUUCUUCCAUUCUACAUGAGGGACCUCUUAAGUUGAAGAAUUUGCCAGUUAAUAUUGAUAGCUAUGCUAAUUAUGUAAAAGCAUACUUGGUAAACAAGUUGCAGCUCGAACUGGAGCCAAAUUGAACGCCAUAUCAUACUGUGUUUUCUUGUUUUGAUAGAGGUAGAACUUAAAUAUUGCUGCACAGUUCCUUUUCAAAUGAAAUACAUGUUAAACCCAUUGAUGCAACAUGGUUGAUGUAGCACGAGCCUGUAUUGUGCUUACUAGUAAGUCUUUGACGGCAAAGAGGAGUAUGCAGUGUUGAUCCAAAAAAGAUGCUUCUAGUUUCUUCCUUGAAAGACUGAUUGAUCCGUUCCAGAUCGAUAACACAAAUGUGUCGAACAUCAUUAAGAGCUGCCGAGCAAGGAUUUAAGUGCCGUGGUAUGGGGCCGUGCCGAAAACUUGUCUGCACGGUACGGCACAGUGCGUGCCAGGCCUUGCCGAUGCGUGCCGGUCACAAAAAUUCAUGUGUGCCGACACAUAAUAGUAUGAAAUUUUCAUUUUCUUUAGCAACAAAAUAUUCUAACUGUUUAUUAUGUAUUUUUAUCAAAUCUUUUGCACUUUAUUUAGAAAAUUACAAACUAAUUUAAAGAAUAGAGGGUUUUGAGCUGUCUUAUCAGCACGGAGGCUGUAUUGUGCUGAUAUCUUGUUGGCACGAUACGACACGGUAGAUACGGCCCGUACCGAUGGGCACUUAAAUCAUUGCCGUCGAGUCUCCUUUAGCUGGACGGAGGGAUGAUUCUCUCUGACCAACCAUUUGAGUGAGGGAUUGCAUUGGACUGUCAUUGGACCUGAAAUAGGAUGAGCAGAUACUGAGAGCGAUAUUGGUACAAGAUCCCAUGUUGCAAAAGCGAGUUGAUGUAGGCCAAGCAGGUCUCAUUUGGAUCGGGUUGGAAUCAAGUCUUUGCUUGAUUUUAUUAAUUUUUGUUAUUUGUUGGUUACCUCAUUGUUGGGAUUGUUUACUUUUAUGAUAAAGUACGAAUUAGUUAUUUUAUUUGAGAAGUUGUUAGCUAUCUUUAUGACUAAAAAUCUCUUAGUUAAAGAUUUGUUAGUCUAGAAUAAAUUGCCCACAUAACUCUUUCGUUGGCAGGUUAUGGAUUAUUAAAAUUGAUUUUGUUGGUUAAAGGUUUUGGAAGUGUCUUCUUUCCUUCAUGGUUGGCCUGAGGCCAAACAGUGUCUUCUUCUCCUUUUAGUCUUCGUCAUUUUCCUAUCCUUUGCCUCUUUUCGUCCUAUGGUGUUGUCAAGCUACAGCACCAUGGUUAGUGCCGCCUUUUACGGUAGCAUAUACUAACUACAAUUAAAUGCUUAAAAAGAAGCUGUUACCCUAUGAGGUUUUUUUGUCUAGGUGCUAAUUCAAUUUUAAAAGCAAUUGAAGAUAGUGAACCUCUAGAGUCUAGAUCAAGUUUUAUGUCCUAACUAGCCCAUUAAUAUUGUUGUGAGAUCCAUUGAUUUUACCUAAAUUACUAAUCUUGUUAUCUCAGUUCUUAUGUAGCCAACUAUUCUUUUGCCAUCUUUCGAUAUGAGAAAGUAAUGACUUCAAGUUGUAUGUCUUACAUUAUGCCUUGCUCUAUUGCUAAAUGCAAUCCAAGUGGAGUAGUGAAGACUUUCUAUUUAUCAUACAUUAGGUCCUUUGUGACAUACGAGAAGUGGUGAUGAUUUCCUAUUUAUCAUACAUUGGGUCCUUUGUAGCAUCUUAUGGCCUUAAUCUUACUUGAUUGCUGCUCACGCUCUUAGGGCAUGUUUGUUGCACCAAAACUUGACUUUGGGUUGAAGUGGACUUUGGGUUAAAGUGGAGUUCGGUGAAAACUAUUACUUCCCUGCUGUUUGUUUCGUAGUUAUGGAAGUGAAGUUUCCUCAAUUCUGCUAUUUGUUUGAUAAGAAGUGUAUGCUGUAAAACUAUAAUUUAUGUAUAAAUAAUAAAUAAUUUAAUAAAUAAAAAUAAUAUAAUUAUAUUUUUAUAUAAUUAAAAUUUAAUUUAAAACAACUAACUUUUUUUUAUACAUAAAUUAUAGUAAUACAACAAUAAAAUUAUAAAAUAAAAAAUAUUAAUAUUUAAUUAAUCAAUUUUUAUCAUAUUUUAAUUGUACAAACUAAAUAGAGAGUAAUUAGUACUGUAAUUAAAUAUAUUUAAUAUAACUAUCUUUUCCUAAUAUAUUUUUUUUUAUUUUUUCUUCACCUUUUUUCACCGUAAUUGACUUCGGCCCACGCCAAACAACGAAAGUGAUCGUUUAUGACGAAAACAACUUCUUCUCUCUCCACUUCCACCCCACUUCCACCCAAACAAACAUGCACUUAGAGGAUGGCAAUGGCAAGGUUGCACGUAGGAGAUGCCAGUUUGCAAAGUCUUAUGUUAACACCACCACUUUUCAACUUUUUGCUCUACCUAUAUCUAGUAUCUCCUCUCUUAAUCUCUUUGUGUUUAUGUUUAUACAAAGAAAAAUUUAUUCGUAAGAUAAUUAUUUCACAUUGUUUGCCUAUCCAAUUAUUAUACAAUAAAAAAUUUUUAUUUAUUUUUAUAUAUAACUAGUUGCCUAAUCUAUAUGAAAAAUCAAGCUGGAGUUUGAUCUUGAAUUGAUACAUUCUAACCUCUAUUUUGACAUAGUUGCUCCUUUUUGACAAUUCAUUUUGUGGCUGCUUGAUGUACUAGAUAAUAAUUGAAAACACAAAAUUAGGUUCGUAGGAAUUUCAAGUACUCUAUACCAUAUUUUAUGGUUUCGCUUGUUAAUUUGGAUGCUCCAAAAUAAAAAGGUAACUUGAUAGGACGAAGACUGCCAUCCUCCCCACACACACAAUGUUAGAGAUUAAGAGAGGGAGGGAGGGAGAGAGGGAGAGAGAGGGGGGGAGGGAGAGAAGAAUUUGUUCGAAAGUACUUUCCACUAUUUAGGCUGAGAUCAUCACACCUGAUCUAAUUUCAAGAAUUGUAUCAUUUAAUUUUAUGGCUUUUUCAUUUCAUACUUUUAGGCUUUCAUUUCACACUUUUAGGCUGUCAUUUCACACCACUUGAUCAUCACCCCUGAUCUAAUUUCAAGAAUUGUAUCAUUUAAUUUUAUGGCUUUUCAUUUUACACUUUUAGGCUUUCAUUUCACACCACUUGAUCACAAGGUAGAUAAUGGUGUGAAAAUACUAGAGACUUCAAAUACUCUAGAUCAGGUUUUGUGGUGUCGAAUAUUGGUUUAGAUGCCCCAUUGGUUCAAAUGCUUGUCAAAAGCGAAGUGGAAGUAUGAAUAAAAAUUAAGCACGAGUAAUUAAACAUAAGAAAGUAUGCCUAACAUAAUGUAAACCGUCACUGAUCAUAUUUUUUAACCACGAGUGUACUCAUAUUGUCUAGUAUUGUUAAGCCUAUUUCAUUCAAGUUACUAUUUCUAGUGUGCCGGCUAAGGCUAUACAUUCGGUCACUGAUAUUUGAAUGAAGUCAUACAGAGGAUCUGUUUAUUGUCUAUGGAAAACUGACUUUUUGUAUAGGCAUAUUGUACAUAAGAAUCUAAAGUGAAACAUUAACUUUUUCAAUUGAGAUAGUAAAUGAGAAAAUAGUGUAUAUCCAAGGCCGUGCACUUGUUCUACAGAAGGAUGCAAAAGUAUUGCACACUCCCUUUUCUUUUAAGAUAAAAUACAGAAAACUCCCAUAUAAAUACCCUUUUUUGCACUUUACCCCCCUGUCUUUAAUAAUCUUUAUUUUUCCCCCUUAAAAUUUAGAGUUGUAGUACUUAACUCAGCACUAUUAUAAUUUCGUCACUAUUCCGUGCAUAAAUUGCAUGGUACUAUCGAGAAACUUAUUGAGAUAGCCCCAGUGAUUAAGCGCCUAGGCGCUAGGCUCAAUGGCCAGCGCCUAGGAAGCCCCUAGGCGCGCGCCUAGGGCAAGGCCCAAGGCGCAAGAAAGGCGCGCCUAAUAUAUAUUUGAUCCUACUGGGUUUGGAUCUAAAAUAAUAUGCUUUAAUGGGUUUGGAUCCUAUAUUUAUUGGUCUAAUGGGUUUAAAACAUGUAAAAUAAACCCAAAACCAAUCUAAUCUAAAGUUCUAAACCCUAAACAUCUAUCCGCUCCAUCUCUCUCUCGCCGAGUCCGCUCCCCCUCCUCUCUGAGUCCGCUCCCUCUCCCUCUCUCCGCUCGGACCGAUCCUCUCUCCCGCUCGUACAUCACCUUCGGUUGCCUCCGGCUAUCCCUCUCUGCUUCUUCAACUCAACUCGCCUCUCCCUUUAUAUUAAGGCGCGCUUUUUUAAUCGCUGCUUUCACAUGAUCAUGAUGCUUUUUUAAUGAUUUUUGGCUUGAAACUUUAAACUUUUAUGCAUAUUACUUUUUAUGAUCUUGUGCUUAUAAUUAUAUGGCUUUCACAUCAAAAUUUUCUAUAUGUUUGUGAAUUAAUAGUUAUCUUUAUGUUGGCCUUUAUUUGGAGAUAAAAAAGGUAAUUUGUUCUUUACUUUUAUCUAUGUUAUUUUCUUUUUCAAAAUUAUCAUAUAUGUUGUUUGGCUUGUUUUCUUUUCUUAAUUUUUUUCCUUUUGGAAACGUAAUUAUUUGGGUAAUUAUAGAAUAUUUAUUGUGAUAAUAUGAUUUUAUAGAGUAUAUUUAGUGCUACUUAAUAAUUAUUAGAAAGUAUAGUAAGACACUUCUUGGUUAUUUACUUAUUUCAAAAUUCUAUGAAAGUGUGCGCUUGACCUCUCUUGGGCGCGCGCCUGCGCCUUGCGCCUUGCGCCUAGGUUCCAACAGCCCUGUGCGCCUAGGUGCGCCUUGGGCUUUUUUAAGCACUGGAUACCCCUUAUAUCUUUAAAAAUGGUACGCAUGCAUAUGAAUCUUAUAUUUUCUUUCAAAUUUGGUAACUUUAUGAAUGAGAUCGUCGACUAUUUACUAAUUAACUUUCCUUUUUCAUCAUUUUUACGGCUAAUAGGAGUAUAUUAGUCAUUACUCAGUUGUGCAACAUAAUUUAUGCACAAAAUAGUGACGAAAUUGUAACAGUGCUUAGUUAAGUGCCAUAACGCUAAAUUUUAAGGUAGCCAAAUAGAGGUUUUAAAAGACAAGAGGGUUAAAUGCAAAAGCGGAUAUUUAUAGGAUGUUUUCUGUAUUUUAGCCUUUCUUUUAUGUUCCAUGCUGGACAAAUUCUCAUAAUUGGAUUUGAGAAUGAUUUCCCUUUAUCCAUGGAGCAAGUUGGUUGUUGUAAAUUCAUAAUGUUUAUGUUUUCAUCCAUUUCUUUUUAUGAUGUUUGUACAAUGUGACUAGCUAAUUUCUUAUCUAUUUGUUUAAAAUUUUGGGCCAUAGUCUGUACUUGCAUUUUAUCAAUUGAAGAAGUUGUCAUUUAGACAGCAUUUCUGACCUCUAUCUUUAUUUCUUAUGAUGUAUCCAUCACAUACAAGUUAAUAGCUGAAAACUCCUUAACAAGUACCUUAAAAUCAUCAUUUCAGGGGCCUGUUUCUGGUUUCUUAAGUGUCUUGAGAACACUCAUUUCGUCAUUUAUUGCAUCCUAUGAGAUUUCUCAGCAGGUAAUUUUUGUCUUGUUAACGUGGAAUUAAAGGUUUUUUCAAUUUCUUUUCUACUUUUCUCUGAUAAUGUAUCAGCAACACAUAUGGGAAAUGUAUUGACUGAUUGCAUGCUUUUCACCCACCGCAGGCUGAAGAUGAUUCUCUGAACAUGAUUUUAGACAUCUUAUGCAAAAUUUAUGAUGGCGAGGUCUGGAUAUGUGAUAUUUCCACUAUUUUUUAAGAAUAUAUGUGACAGCUACUAGAUUUAAUUUCUUUUGUUCUUUUUUUUUUUUUUAAAUGAUUCAGGAGUCACUUUCUGUACAGUUUUGGGACAAGGAAAGCUUUGUUGAUUCUCCAAUUCGAUCUGUUCUUUACAUGUUAGAGAAAGAGUAUCCAUUGCGACUAAUUGAGUUUAUUCGCUUUCUAUCUGCUGUUUGUGGCGGAGCUUGGUCCGCACAAUGUGUGUAUGUGACCUUCUUUCUCUUUACUAACAUUUUUUGUGUUGGCCUUUCUGUCUGAUUUGUGUACUUGUGUGCAAACUCUAACAACAUGCAAUUGUUUGGAAGCUAUGGUGGUGGAGGAAGCUACUCGUUCUCAUGGGAAAAGAUGGGUUCUAGUGUUCUGCUUUCUUACAUGAUCGACCUUACGUCUGCUAGUUUAUUAUGCAUUUAAGUCAACUGUGAAAUGAGGUUUUGCUGAUCGCCACUGUUUAGUGUUGUUGCCCAAGCAUGUUUUAAUCCAGUUUGAUUUGUCGUUUUCGCUUCCAUUUUCUUUGUAUUGAAGUCCAGAAGUUUCAAUUUUGAUGGAUUGGUAGUCUUUUAUUUCCUUGAAAAAUUCAAUGGAAAUUUCUCAAAAAAUAUAAUGAUGAUCAAUUUAGAAAUUCAAAUUCCACAUGAUUUGCUAUAUCCUUGUUAUUAUUAUGUAGUUUGGUUUGUAAAACUCUGAAAUUUUCAUGGAUAUCUAUAGAGGAUAAAAUGUAAGGGUUAUAAGUAAUAAUAGUUAUAGUUUAUUUUAUUUUGAAAUGCUUCUAUCCAGUUUUCGUAAGGACUAUUAGAUGUAAAUUACAGGCCAUUUUCUUUCUACAAUUUUUCCAGUGUUAGUCAUGGUUUUUCAUUAUUUUACUCUUACAAAAUGAAAUCCCACUAUUCUUUUCUUGAAAUUUCACAUGUUUCACAAACUGGAUGAUUUGGUAUGCGUACAUCUAGUCUUAGCUGUAGAAUGACUGAAUGUCUUCUUUCCAUGUGUGUGUGUGCGCGGGUAUAUAUAUAUGAGUCCGGCUACUAUACUCUUAUCAAUACGAUCGCCUUCGUACUACACCUUAGCACCUAGGCGCGAGGCGCGAAUCUUAGCGCCUCAGGGAGUGAGGCGUGCGCCUCAGACGCACUUCGUGAUAUUUACGUUUAAUAUGUCUACGGUUUGGGUUUUCGGAUUUUGAGUUUUUUCAAUAUAUUCUAAAAUGUUAAGAAAUUUGUUUUAAAAAACUCCUAAUUUAGUCGCUUUCCUUUUUCUCUUGAUCGUUCUCUCUUCCACCCCCCAAUGGCAAUAAGUAGCAGCGGCAAGAAGCAAGAAGCAAGAAGCAGUAACAAGCACUUUUAAGUUGAAAGUUGAAACAUAAUUUUUUUAUUUUUAGGCUGAGAAUAUUUAUGCAUGCGGUUUCUUUACUUUUCUAUAGUUAUUUUGUUUUUGUAUAGCUAUUUUAGAAUUUUUUAACAUAAAACAUCCAUCUAAAAUAGGCUUGUUAAGAGUGUUUUAUUUUUAUUAGAUAUGCGUCUCACCUUCUUGAGGCGCGUGCCUUGCGGUGCGCCUCGCGCCUAGGCUCCCCCUCCUUCAGCGUGUUGAGGCAUCAACUGGUUGUCUAUAUAUAAUUAAAAAGGAAAAAAUUUCACUUUCCAUACAUAUUUAGGAGAAUGUAUGAAUAGAAGGGAAACUAAGGUGGACUCUAUGGCUGCUAUUGGAUCAAUAGUGUUAAGGUGUUGAGGUAUUCUGCAUGAGUAUGCAAGAAAGAAGGCAUUUAGGUUUUCUGUAUGUAUUUCAAAUGUACAAAUUAAAGUGCUGUUGCUGCUUUGUAUGUAGCAGCAUGUACUAUGCUGGCGGUUUGUCAACAUGGUAUAAUAAUUGUGCCGGGAUAUUCUCGUGGGACGCAAGGUUCCGUUAGAUCUGCCGCAACACAUGCUACAGUAGUUUCAUGUUGAAGUCUGCUGCCGAGUACCUUGCCAAGCCUGGACUGAUAUUGGGGAUGCUGGUUUAUUUAAAUUUUGGGUAACACAUACUUGUGAAAUUUCAUCUCGGCUUAUAGGGUAGAUGGCCUUCAAGCUGAAUAUUGUGGUAGUUUCUUACAUUUGCAAAAAUAAAAUAUAAAAAACAAGCUAAAAAAUUUAACAGAAGAAAAGAGAAAUGCAAAGUAAUGGUAAAUGUGUUUGACCGAAAGUAGAGUCCGUGCCAAACUUAUUGCGUCCAAAGUCCAAACCUUCCAGAAUGGUGUUUCUUGGCAAUCCUUGUGUUAGUGCUGCAAAUGUUGGCUGUAGUAGCGACCAUGUUGCAUGGUUGAUGUAAACUGUUAAAGAAUUUUACAUGUUACCUACCUAUUCUCUCUCUCUCUCUCUCUCUCUCUCUCUCUCUCUCUCUCUCUUUGAUGGCAGUAUGAUUAUUAAUUCUUUGUUUGGUUCUCUUUCAUUACCUAGGAAUCAUCUUUAGUAAAACUAAUAUGAUCAUGUGAACUACACACUAAGUUUGCAAGAUAUCACAUGAAAUAUGUGACCAGUAGAGUUGAAGUUAUUAUAUUUUCUUUUUGCUAUGUUGCUUUCAGAUCUGCUUACCGCUAACUUGCUUGCAGUUACAAUUACCUAGAGAACAUGAGUGGGAUAACAACGUUGUAUGAGAUACCUGGUCGUGCUGGUGUUGCGAACAACUAUGACCUUAUAGAGAUUCAUUACCAAAUAGGUGUUCCUGGUAUUGAAGGCUAUGUACUUCCAACUGGUACUUGUGGUUAUAUAUUAAAACUUAUUGAUGACAAUGUUGCAUUGGUUCGCUGGAAGGUAAAUGACCUUAAAGUUUCUGAUUUCUUUUAAAGUCAGCUACAGUAGAUGUUAAGCUUUUUCUUUGUGGUUGAUAUGUUAACUUUGUUCGAAGCAAUAAUUCAAUUUCACUGAGAUUGGUUUGUUGCAAGGUUUGUACUCAUGUUAUUGAGUAUAAAAAAUUCUAUACUUAUGUUAUUGAGUAUAAAAAAAAUUCUAUAUGCAUACUAUUAUACCAGUGUUUUGUCUCCUCCAUUUUUAGAUCCAUAUCUAAAUGAUUGUCUACUGUUUGCUUUAUAAUGUUUUACGAGUCUUUAGCUCCUUUUCUAGGACAAGGUUUAAUAACUAUAUUCUUAUAGCAUUAUGGAAGUCAUUUAGUCAUGGUACAGAAGUAUUGCUGUUUCUUCUGACUGUCUAGUUUUUUGUGAUACUUAAUUAGUAUGCUUAUAUAUAAGACUGCAGAUUUGUUACGUCAUAUUGCUGCUUAAUGCACCUACAUUGUAUCAGUUUUCAUAUAACGAUGAUUGUAUGAACGAAGGAAGAGCAUUGGAAGAGUAUUUACACUGUUACGGAUGAAACCAAUAAGUAGCACUAAAUUCAAAUAUCAUUAUUGUUUGUCAACCUCUUCAUCAAAUCCUGUAUAUUUGUGUAUUUCGUCAAUAUAGUUUGGGUGAAGGCUGUGAACUAGGUUGCUAGUUUUCUAUAAAAGUGCUGAGAAGAUGAAUAUUGGUUUGUUAAGCUGAUGUCUUGAAUGAUGCAAAAUUCCUUGCCCAGACAUUAUUUGAAGAAAUCUUUGAACUGUUUCAUUGACCUAGAAACCCACUUGUCGGAUGCAAAAUUCCUUGCCAAGGCAUUAUUUGAAGAAAUCUUUGAACUAUUCCAUUGAUUUAGAAGUCCACUUGUCGGCUAGAUUAAUUUGUCGUAUUGCCUUAAGACUGAACGAGUAAAUUUUAGUGUACAUAGUACAGUUCUGACUCAAUCUCGAUUGGAGAUAAAUUGAAACUUAAGUUCACAAAUUGUGAUGAUUUAUUUUCUUUAAUUAUAUUUAUUUGAAUUUUAGCAAUAAGUUAUGGGUACAAUUUACUUUGAUUUAUGAUUUUAUUCAUAAUUUUGUUCGCUAGCAUCUUUUCUAGAUAUAUUCUAACAAAAUUGUUCCCCUCUAGUGUCCACAUUCUGGAGUUUUUCUUUUACUCCUCAUUUUGGCACAUGGGCUCCAUUCAUUCAAUUAUGAAGAAGUUUAUUAUAUUGUUAAUUUGCUUUACCGGAUGAUAUCUGGAAACAAGGUAGUCGUGUUUUUUUGAUUCCUCAGCUUUUUGCAUUUUUCUGUCUUUUACUUUUUAGUGACGCCAUGUCAACUUUGUAUACUAAGGAGAAAUAGAGAAAAGUAUAAAUAAUGUAUAAUUUCAUUUGGAAGUUUAUAUUUUAGUAGCUUGUGAAUGAGCAUUAGUUUCUUUGUCAGGUACUUUCGUAUUUACAUUUUUUGUCAGUUUCACAUGUAAGCCACUGCUGCAUGCAUGUUUUUUUUUAUAUUUUAUGCUCAUUAAGUGGUCCAUUUGCCUACAAUGUUGGAUGCAUCAUACGAUGUAUAUUUGCUGAGGUCCUUGAUAUUUGUAGAAUGUAGUUGAUAGAAAAAUGUUUCUUGACUUCCUUUUUACCAGCUUUUAGUGCGCCAGGAAGCGCCAUUUCAAUAAUAUUUUAGUUCUUCUUAUAUGUCUUGCUUUUCUGGAGUGGAUUUUGCCCCUAUCUAGCCAGCUAGAUCUUCUGCAAAAGGGAGCUGUUUGAGGAUACCUGUUGUAAGAAGCCCUAAAAGAUUUUUCAACCUCAAAAUAACUUCUCACUGGUGCUAGAAAGAGAUGGUUCAUACUGGGGCUUUACAACCAGGAUUGACUAGUUUUUGAAAAAUUGAUUCUUAAUUUAAUUUGAGCUUUUGAUAUUUGGGCCUUGUUGGGUAUUGUUGCAAUUUUUUUGCUUGUUUUAAAAUGCAAAUUCUGCGUAAUAGAGCGUAUUGUCACGGGUCAAUCGUUGGGGCUCGACCGUGACGCUCUUGGGGGCCACAUUUGGUAGUCAUUGAGUUGACGAAGCUAUGGAGUUGUGGAGUUGAAGCGUUCCGUUAGGUUGGAGUCGCUGUCAAGUCUACGGAGGCAAUUCUCUAGCAAUGGCCCAUGCCAUGGCAAGGAUUUUGGUACCGCAUGCGGGGUUUCAAAACGUACCCCUCGGUGGGCACCUUUGUACCCCCGGGGUGCCAAAGGGCUGGAUGUCUUGCAUGGUAUAUAGGAGGAGGGGUGGACACUGCGUAGAGUAGCCCCGACUCCCCCGCCGACUCAUAGGAUAUGUGUCGUCCCUUGGCUAGCGGAGUAGCCAAGCCUAGUGUUUCGUGUGACUGUACAACGGAUGGUUGAAGGGUCACGGGCCUAGGGCAAUGUCAGAGACAGAGGUCGACGACAUUGUGGAGCGGGAAGCACCCGGGAGGCUUUGCUCCUAGGUUCGCGUGCACUACCUUAUGCCGUCUCGGAUCUCUGUGAGGGAGCGCGCGAGCGGAUGAGGGUUAGUUUUGCGACGGAUGGCCCGCCGUAGAGGGCAAGGCUCGCGAAGGCAAGUGUGCUGAGCGGGGAUUCGCAGGGCGCGGUGCCUGCGAAGGCUUAAGGAGAUGGAUCUCUGUAGGAUCGCCAAAGGGAGGCACGUCGAAGGAGACUCGCGAGGCGCGUAGGUCUUGGAGACUCGAGAGGGGCGAAACCCAGUGAGGCAAACAGUAUCGGUAUCCGUAUGGUGAACCUUGAGGGACUGGACAAUUGGUGUGCGACCAGGUGUGGUCGAGCCAUGGAGGGGGGUCAGAUGGGUUGCGACGCGGAGCGAGACCGGCUCGUUUGUAUGGGGCCUUAUGUGGCGAAACUAUGAGAACCGAGGGCGCGGAGUGCCAUGGCAAUGCGAGGUCGUGGGGACAGUCGAAGAGCACGGUGUGGGCUUGUUGGCUUCCUUGCCAGGAGCGUUGUGGGCACGUGUGCCGUACGGGUCGCAUGCGAAGCACGGAUGUGCGGAGCAUGGGCGUGCGGGGUGUCGCGCGGGUCGCUGGUGUUGGAAGACAGACGAGCUUGUGGCGCACACUUGGGUGGCUGCUUUGACGUGGGUCUUUGGACUGAGCGAGCAGGCCGCGCGUAGGCGGUAUGGCUGUGGAUGCUGUCAGGCGCAUGAGGCACAACAGUGGAGAAAGUGACCUAGAUUGGUGGCCAGCCUCAGUAUUGGGGUUGCUCGUUGGGGAACUCGUGGAGUCCGACGAGGGGUUCGAAUGCAGGUGAUUGGUUGAGCUGUCAAUCUCGCGCAGGAGCAAGCUUGGCAAAUGAUUGGAUUUGUAUUCCGCUGUUAAGUUUGGAAGACUUGUCCGUGUUAGGAUGUGGGGAAGGCUUGCCCAUCUUCGAGCAGGAAGGGGGCGCCGCACGGGCUUUACGAAGAAAAAAGUUAUGUUCGUGACAGUAUGCUUCAAAUUGGUCCUUUGCAUUGGCAACAAAAAAACAAAAACUAUGGCCUCAUCCAAUCUUGUUACAAUUUUUUUUUUGUUAAUUAAUUAGUUUAUUUGUUUUUUUGUUCUCGCUCCAAUUUUUAUUAAUUUUUUUUAAAGCAGAUGCCUCUGGCAUAGGACAGGGUUGCAUCGCAAGCUACCUAAUGAUGACGUGAGUAGGAAAGUCCAUCCAUGGCAUAUCCAACCACUAAUAAUUUUCAUUUAUAAAAUCACAAAACCGCAACGAUACCAAACAUGAUCUAGUAGUAAUUUUUGUCACUUUUUUUGUGUGUGUGAAGAAGAUGCCUUUCUGGUUGGGUUGGGUUGAGAGCUAGGCAAUGAUGACAAGAGUUGGAAAGGUUGCUUACUGGCUCAUGCUACUGCAUAAAAUAUUCAUUUAUUAAAAUAAAAGAAACAGCAAGAACAAGCCUUAGCAAACUAACGACAAAUAAAAGGAUGCUCAAACUUCUAUAUCUUCUGGACAUUAGCAGUGAAGUGCAAUAUGAAGGAUAUAUUUUUAUGGACAAAUUACUUUGUAUAAUUGGUUGUCAACAUUUGCUUAUUUAUUUGUAAUUGUCAAUCACGACUUGCACAAAAGUAUUUUUUUUUUUUUUUUUUUUCUCUUUUUAAGACUAGAUUAUACUNAGUAUUUUUUUUUUUUUUUUCUGUUUUGUUUUUCUCAGUGCAUCGCAUUUGACCUUUUAUAAACAAGAAGUUACUAAUAUGCAUGUAUAACAACAUUUGCAUUCUUAUUUGCGGUAAAACCGUAAAAGUGAACUUUUACUUAUUCUACUUGUAAUCCUUUUUACUUCUUGCUUUGCUGAUUGCAUGUGUAACUGAAAAUAUUUUGUAUGUCAUCGUCGAAAUGAUUGAAUUAUUCCUUUUUCUCUCAAAAUCAUUGUAGGCAUUGUGCUUUUCUUUGUUGCAUGCUGACAAGUCAUUACGUGUUCGAGCUUCUAAAGAGAGUGGGCAAAUCGAAGAGGAUGUUAGGUUAGAAAAGCACAACAAAUUUUCCUUAAAAGUGGAAUGUUUUCUCGUACUUGACAUUAAUUUUUAUUUUUUUAUCAGGAUUGAUGUAGUUAAUGUUUUCUGCACUUCAAUAUUCAAGUUAAUCCAAGAUGUCAGCAAUGCCAGUAUAGUGGCCACUUCGUUCAACAUAUUAUCGGAAAUGAUUAAGUGGUAAGCUUUCAUUUUUGGAGUAAAUUGUUUGUAUUGAUCUUCUGUUUGUUUUCUAUAGUGAGUAAUAGCAAUUGGCUUGUUUUCUUAAAGCUCUUUGCACAUGUAGCUGUGCUUCGUUCUUUUAAUUGCAUUCUAAUUGUGCUAACUUUUGUAUUUCAAGUUUCAUCUUCGAGUAUAACUUUUACUUUUUAUAACUAGAUGAACGAUCAAAGGGUAAACAAUAGUUAAUUAAUAUUUGAUAUGAUCAGAUGAAUGAUCAUAGAGCAAGCAAGUGCGAGUCCCCAAACCCAAGGUUUUAAGCAAGGUUUUAAGCAAGGUUUAAAGUGACGUGGCACGGGGGGCGUGCCGUUAUGUCCCUGGCACGGUACGGCACAGGAACGCUUGCGUGCCGACACGUGGCACGCUUGCGUGCCGAUAGAUACGCAUGACUUCUUACUGGCACGCUUUGGCACAGACUUAUUUUAGUUUUUUUGGUUCCAAUAAACUCUAAUAAUAUUAUUUUGAAAGAUUUAAACAAAAUAAUUAUGAAUAUUUACUAUAUAUACCAAGGAUUCAAGUGCCGGCCGUGCCGCACCGUGCCGGUGCGGCACGUACCAUGCCACCAAGAAGGGGUACGGUACAUGGGGGGUCUCGGACCCCCCUUCCGUGCCGCGGCACGCGGGGCUGUGCCGCAUGAGACAGAGCGGCACGGCGAUGCGUGCCGCGGCAUAGUGCCGUGCCGGCACUGUGCAACUUUUUUUUUUUUGCUUUUUUUUGUUUUUUUUGUUUUCUUUUUAUUUUUNNNNNNNNNNNNNNNNNNNNNNNNNCGAUUUUGUUUCCCAAUUGCUCAAAAAUUUCACGGUCCUGACAAAUGUGUAGAUAAAUGAAUUUGUGAAGAAAAAAGUAAUGAGCUCCUAUGCGUGGAAGAGAGGAUUGGAUAUUAAUAAAAAAUUUGCCCUAAUUAAUUAAACAAAAAAUGUAAAUUAUAAUUUUUGAGCUUGCCCGCUAAUAGAAUAGCGAUCUUCUCGCAUUUGCCCCAAUAUUUUUUAGCGGUUGGUAGCAGCUACCCAGAAUGCUUCGGGCCUACCCCAUAAAUAAAACAAAAAGAAAAAAACAAAAAAAGUUGCACCAGUAAAAAACUGGCCAGCACGGCACAUGCCGGCAAUCGCCGGGCCUGCUCUCGAUCUCGUCGCGCACACUCAUGGCCCCGGUUGCCCCGCGCCACAGUAAAGGGGUCGCGAAGCUUAAUGAACCCUAUAUGGUUUAUUUUGCCAGAAGAUCGGCUUUGAUCGCAAUUAUCUGCAAAAGUUCCAUCUUUCGGAUUUUAUAUAAAGCAGCACUUUGGGAUCAUAAAUUCUACACACUACAUGUCUCUUCCUCUUUUAGCAUGUUAUAAUUUGAUUGUAAACUACACAAUAAAGAAGCCAUCGUUUCACUUUGGCAUCAACUGAGAAACUUGUGAUUCUUAACUUUUUCUAAUCGCCAGUAUCCUGCUGCGCCCAAAUGCUCUUGAUUCGUACUGCGAAAACUGUCUAUCCUAAACGAGUCCUGAGCCGUGGCCUGAAUACUGCUACAAAAAUACUAGAUCUCCAUUUGUAUUGUGCUACGAAGUACUCGCCAACUAUCUCGUUCUUUGGAUCCUUAAAUUUUGUUAACAUGUCAGACUAGGGCUUUUCUCUUUAAUUUCAGAUUCUAAUUGUUUAUGAAAAUACAAUUUGAAACUUGGAAUCUGACUCUGAAAAUGCGACAUUUUUCCAGCUCUUCCGCAAGGCACCAAAAUAUUCCAGCUUCCUAUGCCCUAAUCUCAAACUACAUGAGCCGGCAUUGAAAGGGAAAAAAAGCGGGGAGAGGAAGUACAAGAACGAAAGGCCGCCGGAAGUUGCGAUAGAAGCCCUAGUCCGCGCAACCUGAAGACAGAAUCAUCGAAGCAACGCGCGAGCACUUGAAUCCCUUCGCUUACUUCGUCAAAUAUUAAUUAAAGCUCCUUAAUAUUUGUUCUCACUGCAUUAUCCAAUCAAUUUAAUAUUACUAAGGAGAUCUCUCAUUGGAACCAAAAAAACAAAUAGCUCCCCUGCUGGCUGCUACCAAAGGCGCAUGCCCAUAGGAGCGCCGUCCCAUGCAGUUUUGGCAUUCGAUUUGGCUCUCAUACGCACCCGCGCCGACCUUCUAAAAAUUCCAUACGCUCAGGUUCACACGUUGUCCAUGACGAGGACCUUCCAAUGCGUCCCUUGUGCCCCCCCGCCUACGCUCCUCCCCUCCCCCCCUCCCAGACAAUUUGGCACACUUGUUGUAACCGUAUUUUCGACUGAAACCUUGGUGGCUUGACAGUUUACGAACUCAAUAAACAAAUUUUAAGGCACAUCAAAUAUAAAAUUUUAUUUUUGCGUUAGAAGAUUGAAAAUACUGAUAAAAUUAAAAGUUAAAUUAAAUUAAUUGAUACUUAAAUUUAUUUAAUUUAUUUGUCAUAUAAUUUAUUGCUUAAUUUUUUUGAUAGAUCUACUAUUUUUUGAAAAAAUUAAUUAAAAAAUAAUUUUUUAAAAUUAUUUUAAAAAUAUUUUUUUGUAUUUAUAAAAUAAAGAUUGUAAUAUAGUCAAAAGAAAAAAGAAAAAAAAAAGAUGUCUUUGCAUUUUAAAAAUUCUAACAUAUAAAAAAUUGUAUUCUGUAUCAGAUAUAGUUGUACUUUACAUACAAAAAAGCUUAUAAGUAUGUUAAUUGAUGAGUAUAGUAAGCUAUAUAUAGCAAAUAUUCAUAAUUAUUUGAUUAAAUCUUUCAAAAUAAUAUUAUAAGAGCUUAUUGAAAUAAAAAAAAGUGAAAUAAGUCUGUGCCAAAACGUGCCAGUAGUAGGAAGUCAUGCGUAUCUGUAGAACGCAGCGGAAGUAUUCGUUCGUACCUUUUUGCGGAAGCGAUUCUCGUUACAACUCGAUGAGCCCGGAUCGUCGAGGUUGAUUCACGUGUCCUUUGAUCGUCCUUGAUUAAAUCUUCUCACGUUCCAAACUCGCGAUGGAUCGAACUACAAACGAGCACGAUCACAAAUCCACCGUUCAAGUCCCUCUUAGAAUAAUAGGUCGAUGGAGGAUGUGGUUUCUCUCAUUCGUUUUCUUAUUCUCUUUUCUUUUUCCGUUCUUGUUCGUUCUUAUUAUGUGGGAUCGCCCGUAUAUUUAUAAGGGAUUCCAAAUUCCUAAUAGCGUUAGAGAUAAGGUCAAAUCGGUUAUUAAUUGUUAUCCUAAUAUGACUAGGAUUUAUCUCUAACUAACUUUCCAAUUUGAAAGCGAGAUUAAUUCCAAUCAAAUUAGAUAACAUAACAUCCGUCCGAUCGAACCCGCUUAUGGGCGUACUCGAUUCGAUUUAACCGAAUGCCAACAAUAUCUAUCGGCACGCAAGCGUAUCAUGUGUCGGCACGGAAGCGUGCCAGUGCCGUACUGUGCUAGGCAGACAGCGGCACGCCCCCGUGCCUAGGGGUGUAAAACGGGCCGGGCGGCCCGUGGCCCGCUCGGCCCGGCACGACAGCUGGCUGGGCCAUGGCCCGGCACGGCUAUUGUAGCAUCCGUGCCGGGCCGGCCCGGCCUGACUCCACGGGUCGUGCUGGGCCGAGCCUCUGCGGCCUAUAGUCCCGGCACGGCACGGCCCGUGUCGGGCCUGAGCCGUGCCGGGCCAGAGGAUCGGCCAGCAGCCCGGCACGGCACGGCCCGGAUAUAAAGAAGUCUGUAGGGCCUGACAAGCCAGGCCUAAGCUAGGCUUUAGGCUAGCCUUUAGUAGGCCUGCCACGGUCCAAGGGUCUGCAGACCUUUGGACAGUGGGCCCGACGGCUAUUGAGCUGUUAGGUUGGGCCAUGUCAUGGACUUAUGGGUGUUUUUUUUCCUUUUCGAAUUUUUUUUUAUUAUUUUUCAAAAAGAAGGUUAAAAAAAGUAAAAAAAAAUAUUUUUUAAUCAAAAUGACCAUAAUGUCCUCACUAACAUUCAAAAAUUUAAAUGUUAGAGAGGACAUUUUGGUCAAAAAGUAAAAAAUAUUUAUAUAUAUAUUUUUAAAUUUUUUUAUAUCUAUAAAUACUACUACAAACAUUCAAAUUCAUCACAACAAACUACUCUUCAUUCAUUUUCUUCUACAAACACUUCCUACUCUUAAACUUUCAAUUUAAAUUCUUUUCUCUCUCAACUCUCAAGUUUACUUUGCAAAAACUUAUGUUGAUUUUUUUUCUCUAUUGUUUGCUAAUUGGUUGUAUAAACAAUACCAUUUUAUUUUAAAUAUAUUUUUGAUUUUUUGAAUUUUUAUAUUUUUCUCUAAUGUAAUUAUAUAAUAUGAGUAAUUCAAAUACCAAUUUUAUUAUUUGUGUUUUAAUUUUUUUAAUUUUAUAAAAUUUUUAAAUGAGUUUUAGAAUGUUGGGUAUAAUUGUGUAAAUUAAAAUUUAUAAGUCAAAAAGUUAUAAUUUAAAAUCUUUUUCCUACAAAAAUAAUUUUUUUAAAAAAUACAAACUUUAUGUAAUAUGAUUAAUACAAACUUUAUAUAUUUGUUGUAAUUAUUUUUUUAAAUAUCAAUUUCUCUUCAAAUAAUAAAAAAAGGUAUUAAAAAUAUUUUUUUUUCUGAAAAAAGAAUUCUGAAAAAAAAAACUGUGGAAAGGAGAAAAAAGGAAGG
rnacentral:lncRNA from 1 species